rnacentral:lncRNA from 1 species
GAUGUAUGUUGUCUUUUCCUAUAGUGGUGUUAUGUGAACGUCGACUACAUGACACUUCACCAUUAUUUGGGCCUAGAGGAAGGCAUGGUGAAGUAAUAAGUAGAUGAUGGGUUGCUAGAGUGAUAGAAGCUUAAACCCUAGUUUAUGUGUUGCUUCGUUAGGGGCUGAUAUGGAUCCAUACGCUUAAUGUUGUGGUUAGGUUUACCUUAAUACUUCUUUUUGUAGUUGUGGAUGCUUGCAAUAGGGGUUAAUCAUAAGUGGGAUGCUUGUCCAAGUUAGGGCAGUACCCAAGUACCGGUCCACCCACAUAUCAAAUUAUCAAAGUACCGAACACGAAUCAUAUGAACGUGAUGAAAACUAGCUUGAGGAUAAUUCCCAAUGUGUCCUCGGGAGCUCCUUUAUCAUUAUUAGAAUUUGUCCAGGCUUAUACUUUGCUACAUAAAGGAUUGGGCCACCUUGAUGCACUUUAUUUACUUUAUUUACUUGUUGCUCGUUACUAUUUAUCUUAUCACAAAACUAUCUAUCACCUACUAUUUCAGUGCUUGCAAAGAAAACCUUACCGAAAACCACUUAUCAUUUCCUUCUGCUCCUUGUUGGGUUCAACACUCUUACUUAUCGAAAGGACUAUGAUUUACCCCCUACACUUGUGGGUCAUCAAGACUCUUUUCUGGCGCCAUUGUCGGGGAGUGUAGCGCUUUUGGUGAGUGCAACUUGGUAAGGAAACAUUCAUAUAAUGUGCUGAAAUUUUCUGUUACUUGUCACUAUGGAAACUAAUCCUUUGAGGUUCUUGUUUGGGGUAUCUUCACCCCAACUAGAAGAGCAAAGAGUUGCUCCUCAAGUGUCAAGUAUCUUUGCUUGCAAAGUGCUUGGGACUUAAUUUCCAUGAACCGGUAUUGUAAGUAAAAAUUCUUCAGCAUACAUUAGCCCCCUAGUGUCAAGUAUCUUUGCUUGCAAAGUGCUUGGGACUUAAUGUUAUCUUACCAUGAUUCUGACUAUAACCCGGCAUCAAUGCAGGCCACCAUAAGUCAAUUUGAGUCGGAGAUUGCUGACCUAAAGAGCCGCCGUGGCCGCUCAAGAACUUGAAAUUCAAAAGGCCAACUCCAAAUUUGAAUUCAGUGUCUCUGAACAAGAGAAGUUGAAGAAGAAUUUUGAGGCGGAGAAGAAAAUCUGGGCUGAUGAGAAGGCCUCACUAGUAACCCGGGUCUAGACAGCAGAAACAUCACUUGCAGAAGCAACAGCCGAGCUGUCCGGCUUAAAGCGCCAGAUAUCUCAAAUGGUCUCAGCAAUCUUCGGUAAGUUACUGUAUAUAACCUCAAAUAUUGUAAUCCUUCCUUUGAUGACUAUUGUAAUUGUUAUCUCCGGCUCACCUUAUGUUUAUGAACGCAGGCCCCAGGAGCACAAACCUCAAGUAGAACAUGUUGAUCAAACUGAAAGCGGUUUACACUCUAGUGGAGAAACUGUAGACCGGGUCACAACGUGCUUUGGCUGUUGUAGCUUUAUCGACGUUCCUCAUCUCCUUCAAGAUGUGCUAAAGCGGCUUGCCGUGCUACCCCAGCGGGUCCAAGAGCUAAGACGGGCAUCUGCCAGAGCCGGGGCUAUAGCCGCAUUGAGCCGGGCCAAGGCGUGGCUCCAGAGUUAGACCCGGCAGACAUUGCUCUUGGGUAUCCCAGCUUGAAGGAAGACGGCUCUUUAUUCAACGAGACAGACUUCACCGCCUGUGUGAAAGACAUACGUCCUAUGGCUACUCUCGUUGGGAAUGAUACUGACCUUACCAAACAUCAGUCAGGCUAUGACAGUGAGAACCGGAGAAUUCCAACACCUCACUAUGAUGAAGUCAACCUGAUCCCUCCAACUCGUAAGCAUACCUUUGCCCCUGAAGUGGACCCAACCGGUUUAAUAGAUGAUGAAGCUGAGUUUGAAGCCUUGAGUGGCAUUGACUGGGCCUCGUCAACCUUCCAGGACAGGGCAGCAGACGGAGAGGCGAAGAAGGAUAACCCGGAAUCUUCAAUCCAACCAAAGGAGUGAACCUCCAGACGUUUAUGACUUUGCGAAAACAAUGCUUCAUUAUUCAGACUCAGGGAGUCUUGUAAUAGGGUAGAAAAACCUCUCGAUUUUUGUCAUGCAUUUGCGCAUGUUUACGGCGCUUAAUACUUUCGUAAGCCGCCAUCGCUAUAUAAUUCCAGCUUAUGUUGAUCUUUUAUUUCCUUGAUGUUAAAAAUUUGCUUGCCUUAUCCUGCAUAUAAAACAAGCAGAAUUCCCUUGGCGACUUAUCGCAUCGGGAGUCACAUAAGGUAUUGAUAACCCGGAGUGCGAACCAAAACAUCAUAUAAAGGCUGGUUUAUGAUUAUAUUUGUUAAACAUAAUCACAAUAGCAUACCUGCGAUCCUUUUGGUAACCUUGCCGGUUUAUGUGACCUAAAUCAUGAGGGUAAGUUUAACUCCUGAAAGUUGGCACAUAUGAUGUUCACCUGGCCCUUAACAACUAAAGUGACCAAUAUUUUAAACCGGUGGAACGAGAACCCCAUAGUACUUUCGAGAAAGGCCUCCCGAUAGUCAAACAUUUGCACUUACAAAGUUUGAUGAAUAAUAAACAAAAUUUAAAAGGCCUCUGAUUCGAAUACGAUCAGUGAACCGUUCCAAAGGGGUUAAGCUUAGAUUCGGAUACAAUCAUAUAGCCCCUAGUGGCUUUGGUGAUGUCGGUUAAGUGGGUAUCGACAGCUAUGUUCUCUUUGGUUCGAAUACGACCUAUGUUUGAACAGGAAGCCCCCAAGUGACCAUAAGAGUUGUUUAAUGACGCUGAUUCGAAUACGAUCCACGUCAGACCCAAAGGGGUUAAGCUAUGAUUCAAAUAUGAUCAAGAAGCCCCCAAGUGGGUUUGGCAGUAUGCCGAUCAAGUGGGUAUCGACAGCUAUGUUCUCUUUGGUUCGAAUACGACCUAUGUUUGAACAGAAAGCCCCCAAGUGACCAUGGAUAGAUUCAGAUAUGAUCAUAAGCCGGACCAAAGGGAAAGCCGGAUUCAGAUAUGAUCCGCUCCCUGUUGGUUGUUUCCACCACCUGAUAAAGAAGACAUGUAAACCUUUGAGGGUGAAAAGAACAGAGGUCCUGCUUUAUUGCUUCAUAUAACAUAUACAUCGUCAAAAAAUAUAUACAUCUUGAGAGUCGGUGGCUCAAGUAUAGUAAGGCCGAAGAUGGGUGAUAUGCCACGGCCGGCGGGUCUCCUCCUCCGACUUACGUGAGUCUUUGUGCUCUCGAACAUCGAUAAGGUAGUAUGAGCCAUUGUUCAGAUUCUUGCUGACCACAAAGGGUCAUUCCCAAGGAGGGGAUAGCUUGUGCAUAUCAGACUGAUCCUGGAUGAGCUGGAGCACUAAGUCGCCUUCCUGAAAGGUUCUGCUUCUAAUCUGGUGGCUGUGAUAGCGGUGCAGGUCUUGCUGGUAAAUCGCCGAGUGGGCUAUUGCCAAGUCUCGCUCCUCAUCCAACAAGUCAAGUGCAUCCUGACGAGCUUUUUCGUUAUCAGCCUCAACAUAAGCCGCUACGCGGGGUGAGUCGUGCUGGAUGUCACUUGGCAGGACUGCCUCUGCUCCGUAUACCAUGAAGAAAGGUGUGUAACCUGUAGAUCUAUUAGGCGUAGUGUUGAUGCUCCACAGUACAUAGGGUAACUCCUCCACCCAACAACCCGGAGUCCGUUGUAAGGGGACCAAGAGCCGGGGUUUGAUACCCUUCAGGAUCUCCUGAUUAGCUCUUUCUGCUUGACCAUUGGAUUGAGGAUGAGCAACAGCCGAAACAUCAAGCCGAAUAUGUUCUCGUUGACAGAACUCUUCCAUGGCACCCUUGGAGAGAUUAGUGCCAUUAUCAGUUAUGAUGCUGUGUGGAAAACCAAAAUGAAAGAUCACAUUUUUCAUGAACUGAACCGCCGUGGUUGCAUCACACUUACUGACCGGCUCUGCCUCAACCCACUUUGUAAACUUAUCCACUGCCACCAGGAGGUGUGUCUUUUUAUCCUUGGACCUCUUGAAAGGUCCAACCAUGUCAAGCCCCCAGACUGCGAAACGGCCAAGUAAUUGGAAUCAUCCUCAACUCUUGAGCCGGAACAUGAGCUCGUCAUGAGAAUUUUUGACAUCCGUCACAUUUGCUGACUAGAUCCUCCAUAUCAGCAUGAGCCGUCAGCCAAUAGAAACCAUGACGGAAAGCCUUGGCCACAAGAGAUUUUGAACCGGCAUGAUGACCACAAUCUCCUUCAUGGAUCUCACGAAGUAUCUCCUGACCCUCCGCAGGCGACACACAACGUUGAAACGCCCCAGUGACACUGCGGUGAUGUAACUCGCCAUGAACAAUCGUCAUAGAUUUGGACCGCCUGAUGAUUUUUCUCACCAAGGUCUCAUCCUCAGGCAACUCUCCCUGGGUCAUAUAGGCCAAAUAUGGCACUGUCCAAUCCGGGGUGAUGUGAAGAGCUGCCAUCAGCUGUGCCUCCGGGUCUGGCACUGCUAGUUCUUCCUCUGUAGGUACCUUGACAGAAGGAUUAUGCAAAACAUCGAGAAAGCUGUUAGGCGGCACCGGCUUACGCUGAGAUCCCAACUGGCUUAAAGCAUCAGCCGCCUCAUUCUUCCUUCGAUCAAUUGCUCCACUUGAUAACCUUUGCAGUGCCCAGCCACAGCAUUUACUUCAUGACGGUAAGCCGCCAUAAGGGGAUCCCUGGAGUCCCACUUUCCUGACACCUGUUGAGCCACGAGAUCUGAAUCGCCCAAGCACCUUACCUGGCUCAAAUUCAUCUCUUUGGCCAUCCGGAGACCAUGGAGUAAGGCCUCGUACUCAGCUGCAUUGUUAGUACAAGGAAACAUAAGCCGGAGCACAUAACAAAAUUUGUCACCUCGAGGGGAAGUUAAAACAACUCCAGCCCCUGAGCCUUCUAACAGCCUGGACCCAUCAAAGUGAAUAGUUCAAUAUGUGUUAUCUGGCUUCUCCUCAGGCGCCUGCAACUCUGUCCAAUGAUUAAUAAAAUCCACCAGGGCUUUAGACUUGAUAGCAGUCUGAGGCAUGUAUUUCAAACCAUGAGGCCCAAGCUCAGUGGCCCACUUGGCGACUCGUCCUGUGGCCUCUCUAUUCUUUAUGAUGUCUCCUAAGGGGGCAGAGCUUACCACAGUAAUAGGAUGACCUUGGAAGUACUGGUUCAGCUUCCGGCUUGCCAUGAACACUCUGUAAACAAGUUUCUGCCAAUGUGGAUACCUUUGUUUAGACUCAAUGAGCACCUCACUGAUGUAGUAAACCGGCCGUUGAACCGGAUGCUCCUUGCCAGCCUCCUUGCGCUCCACCAUGAUGGCAACACUGACGGCUCGUGCAUUAGCAGCCACAUAUAACAGUAACGGCUCCCUAUCAAUGGGAGCUGCAAGGACCGACGGCUCAGACAAGUGUCUCUUUAAAUCUUCAAAGGCAGUAUUAGCAGCAUCACUCCAGAGAAAAGUGUCCGUUUUCUUCAUCAUCUGAUACAGCGGUAGGGCCUUCUCACCUAACCGGCUUACGAACUGGCUUAAAGCAGCAACACGACCCGCCAGUCAUUGAACAUCAUUGAUGCACACCGGUUUAGCCAAAGAGGUGAUUGCCUUGAUCUUCUCCGGGUUAGCUUCAAUGCCUUUGUUUGAGACCAGAAAACCCAGAAGCUUGCCUGCAAGUACACCAAAUACACACUUGGCCGGGUUAAGCAUCAUCUUAUAAACCCGGAGAUUAUCAAAGGUCUCCUUUAAAUCAGAUAUCAAGGUUUCCUUCUCCCUGGAUUUCACCAUGAUGUCAUCCACAUAAGCAUGAACAUUGCGCCCAAUUUGAUCGUGGAGACAGUUCUGUACACAUCGCUGAUAAGUCGCUUGGGCACUCUUGAGCCCAAAUGGCAUAGAUACAUAGCAGAAGGCUCCGAACGGAGUGAUGAAAGCCGUCUUCUCCUGAUCCUUAACUGCCAUUUUGAUCUGACGAUAGCCAGAGUAAGCAUCCAAAAAGCUCAAUCGCUCGCAACCCGCCGUAGCAUCAAUGAUUUGAUCAAUACGGGGGAGGGCAAAGGGAUCAGCCGGACAAGCCUUAUUUAAGUCCGUGUAAUCCACACACAUCCCCCAGGUGCCGUUCUUCUUGAGCACGAGCAUCGGGUUAGCUAACUACUCCAGGUGAAAAACUUCAACAAUUAACCCAGCCGCUAAGAGCCGAGCGACCUCCUCUCCAAUAGCUUUCUGUCUUUCCUCAUUAAACCGUCGAAGAAAUUGCCUGACCGGCUUAUACUUCGGAUCAAUAUUAAGAGUGUGCUCAGCUAGUUCUCUCGGGACGCCCGGCAUGUCAGAAGGUUUCCAUGCAAAGAUGUCCCUGUUCUCACGGAUGAACUCGAUGAGCGCGCUUUCCUAUUUAGGAUCCAAGUUGGCACUGAUGCUAAACUGCUUAGAAGAGUCGCCUGGAGUAAAGUCAACAAGCUUCAUUUCAGCGGCCGAUUUAAACUUCAACACCGGGUCAUGCUCUGUAGUUGGCUUCUUCAGAGAGGUCAUAUCCGCCGGGUCAACAUUAUCUUGAUAAAACUUUAGCUCUUCUACUGCACAAACAGACUCAGCAUAAGCCGCGUCGCCUUCUUCACACUCCAAGGCUACCUUUCGACUCCCAUGCAUAGUGAUGGUGCCCUUGUGACCCGGCAUAUUGAGCUGCAGAUAAACAUAACACGGCCGUGCCAUGAACUUGGCAUAAGCCGGCCGCCCAAAUAGAGCAUGAUAUGGACUCUUGAUUUUGACCACCUCAAACGUCAAUUUCUCAGCCCUAGAAUCAUAUUCAUCUCCAAAGGCCACCUCCAAUUCAAUCUUACAGACCGGGUAUGCCGACUUACCAGGCACCACUCGAUGGAAAACGGUGUUGGAUGUCCUUAAAUUUUUGUCAGUCAAACCCAUGCGUUCGAAAGGUCUCGUAAUAGAGGAUGUUGAUACUGCUACCUCCGUCCAUGAGUACCUUGGUAAAUUUAUAUCCACCGACCUGAGGCGCCACCACCAAGGCUAACUGGCCCGGAUUAUCAACCCGGGGCGGGUGAUCUUCCCUGCUCCAUACAAUAGGCUGCUCUGACCACCUUAAGUAACGGGGAACUGCCGGCUCAACAGAGUUCACGGCCCUCUUAUGAACCUUCUGGUCACGCUUGCACAAGCUAGUGGUGAACACAUGAUACUGCCCACUAUUCAGCUGCUUCGGAUGGCUUUGAUAACCCGACUGCUGCUGCUGUUGUCCCUCCUGACCAGGCUGCUAUUGAUUAUAGCCGCUUUGAUUUCCUUGAAAGCCGGAACUUGAACCGCCGCCCGAGCCAUGAAAGCCGCCGGCUCCUGAGCCGCCGUCCGAUCCAUGAUUGCCAUCAAACGUGUUGGAAUUCUUGAAAGCCUUCAUGAUCGCGCAAUCUUUCCAUAAGUGGGUGGUGGGUCAUUCCCAGGUGCCGUGUCUCGGGCAAGGCUCAUUGAGUAGCUGCUCAAGAGAUGGGCCUGACCCGCCAGAUCGAGGGGGUGGUUUUCCCUUACGUCUCUGAUUGUUACCCUACGCAUUGGCAUUGGCCACAAACUCCGGGUUACCCUCAGCCUUAUGCUUGUUGCCUCCUUGAUUCAUCGGGUUAUGUUGCUGACCCUUUCCAUUGCCGUUCUUCUUUCCCUUCCCUGUCUUUUCCUCAUCAGACGCGGGAUCCUUGGUACUAUCAGAGUCGACGUAUUUGACUAAAGCUGCCAUUAGCGUACCCAUAUCAUUGCAAUCACGCUUAAGGCGCCCCAGUUUCUGUCUUAGCGGCUCAAAACGGCAAUUCUUCUCCAACAUGAGGACUUCAGAGCCGGCAUCCAUCUUAUCAGACGAAUGUAUUAUCUCCUUGACCCGGUGCACCCAAUGAGUUGUGGAUUCACCCUCCUCCUGCUUACAAUUUGUCAAGUCCACAAUCGACAUGGAUUGCUUGCAAGUGUCUUUGAAGUUCUAGAUGAAUCGGGCCUUUAGCUCUGCCCAUGAACUAAUGGAAUUGGGCGGCAAGCCCUUUAACCAAGACCGGGCCGUUCCAUCCAACAUCAUGGUGAAGUACUUAUCCAUUGUCGCGUCGCUGACCUCCAACAGCUCCAUGGCCAUCUCAUAACUUUCGAUCCACGCUCCGGGCUGUAAGUCGGCCGUGUAAUUCGGCACCUUUUGAGGUCCCUUGAAGUCCUUGGGUAGGCGUACAUUACGCAGAGUCGGCACCAAACAAGGAACACCGCCGGUUCUAGUAGCCACUCCCGUCUCAACGGAAGUCGUCGGAUACUCUGGGAAAUCUUGAUGAGCCAUCUGUUGAGCCGCUAGCUGAGCCGCUCGCUCGUUCUCCUGACGUAUUCGGUCUUGUACCGGGUUAUAGCCACCGGGCUGGUUACGGCGCUGGGCGUUGCUUGACAAAGCUUCUGACUCCAUGUGCCUGCUGUAACUUGGACUCCGGUUUUGACGAGGCGGUGCUAACCAAGGCGGUGGAGUCGAAUGAAUCAUGUGCCGGCUAUAAGAAUAAGUCUCUUGCUGAGCCAGGGCCGUCUGGACAAGUUCUCUAAUCCUCUGGGUCUCCACCGCUGUCGGAUCAUCACCGUCCACUGGAAGAGCCGUCAAACACGCCGAUGCUGCAAUUAAGUUCUCCAUGGGGUUGGAAAAGUGACCCGUUGGUAUUGGUACAUAACGGGGUGGAGCCAUACUCCCAUGAGGAGGUGCCAUCUCUCGAGGCUGAGUCGGUCCUCCUGCUCUGGCUGUCAUGAACUGAUUUGCUUCAGGCAGAUUGCUAGGGCCGGCACCGGCUGUAGCGAAAAGGUUCCGAGGGUCGUAAAUCGAAGGCAAACGGGAUUGAGUUUUCUGGUGCCUCCUUCUCAUCACCUCAUUAGAUGCGUUCAAGUUCAUCAUAAGCUGGAAAGCCUCUGACUAGAGCUGUUGCGCCCGUGCAUCCAAAGCCGCCCGUUCUGUAGCUAACCUGGUGUCCUCAGCUGCCAAGGCCUCCUUGGCCCGAGCUAUCUCCUCGCGCACCUGUGCCACCUCCGCGUUAUGCUCAUCUUGAUUUGCAGGAAUAACCAUGGCGGUUAACAGGGCCGUAAGCUUAUCCAUGAGAUCUAUCAGUAUCUAAGCCGGCGGGCUCACAGGGCCUCCUGCCCCGUCCGCUCCUGACCCGGACGUCAUUGCUGCAGCGGUUGUAGAGUUUUGGCCGGGUUGAGUCCCGGCCAUGAAGACUCGUGCCCAUCUUGGUGGCUCAUAGGGGUCCGGAAUACUGGGGCCAUCGGAACAGCCCCUAAGCACGCCAUCUUGCACUUGAUACAGCGAAUCUGUUGAAACGGCAAACGAAUCACCGUCAGAGAGGAAGGCCGUCUCACCACCAUCUUCAGAUCCUUCAGAAAGUUCCUCUCCGUGGAUGCAGCCCACGAAGGCACGCUUCAUGACGGGUUGAACUCGGGCGGGUCUCGCACGCUGAGCCGUCUCGACGAGGCCGGUGUAGUUGUCCGGCUCAGGGCCCGGCUCACCAAUCCGGCCGAUGAAGACGUGGAUUCCGCCGAAGGGGGCCCGGUACCUGUACUCAAUUGAGCCGGCAUCGGGGCCCCAGCCUUCGUUAUCGAUGUAGAUCUUGCCGCGGCGACUCUUGGUCAUCCGGCCAACUACGUAUCCCUUGAGCCCUUUGAAGCUGCCCUUCAAGAACUCAAAUCCACCGUGCGCUGUCCCCACUGUGGGCGCCAACUGUCGUGGAAUUGUCACGGCAGAUGUCCAUUUGCAAGGACUUAGUCGUGGAGCCAUCGCAACUAGGAAGCUUAAAGGGGUUAAUCGGGACAAAGGACACGAGAGAGUUAUGUUAGGGAACGUAGUAAUUUCAAAAAAAUUCCUACGCACACGCAAGAUCAUGGUGAUGGCAUAGCAACGAGAGGGGAGAGUAUUGUCCACGUACCCUCGUAGACUGUAAGCGGAAGCGUCAUGACAACGCGGUUGAUGUAGUCGUACGUCUUCACGAUCCGACCGAUCCAAGUACCGAACGUACGGCACCUCCGAGUUCAGCACACGUUCAGCUCGAUGACGGUCUCCGGCCUCCGAUCCAACAAAGCUCCGGAGAUGAGUUUCGUCAGCACGACAGUGUGGUGACGAUGAUGAUGUUCUACCGGCGCAGGGCUUCGCCUAAACUCCGCGACGAUAUGACCGAGGUGGAAUAUGGUGGAGGGGGGCACCGCACACGGCUAAGGAAUGAUCCGUAGAUCAACUUGUGUGUCCAUGGGUGCCCCCCCCCCCCGCCCCCGUAUAUAAAGGAGCCAGGGGGAGGAGGCGGCCGGCCAAGGAGGGCGCGCCAAGGGGGGAGUCCUACUCCCACCAGGAGUAGGACUCCCUUCUUUCCUAGUUGGAGUAGGAGAAGGGGGGAAAGAGGAGGAAGAGGGGAAGGAAAGGGGGGGCGCCGCCGCCCUUCCCUUGUCCUAUUCGGACUAGGAAGGGGAGGGGCGCGCGGCCCCCUCCUGCAUCCUUCCCUCUUCUCCCUCGAGGCCCAUGUAGGCCCAAUAACCCCCCGGGGGCUUCCGGUAACCUCCCGGUUCUCCGGUAAAAUGCCGAUUUCACCCGGAACCAUUCCGAUGUCCAAACAUAGGCUUCCAAUAUAUCAAUCUUUAUGUCUCGACCAUUUCGAGACUCCUCGUCAUGUCCGUGAUCACAUCCGGGACUCCGAACAAACUUCGGUACAUCAAAACUUAUAAACUCAUAAUAAAACUGUCAUCGUAACGUUAAGCGUGCGGACCCUACGGGUUCGAGAACUAUGUAGACAUGACCUAGAACUAUUCUCGGUCAAUAACCAAUAGCGGGACCUGGAUGCCCAUAUUGGUUCCUACAUAUUCUACGAAGAUCUUUAUCGGUCAAACCGCAUAACAACAUACGUUGUUCCCUUUGUCAUCGGUAGGUUACUUGCCCGAGAUUUGAUCGUCGGUAUCCAAUACCUAGUUCAAUCUCGUUACCGGCAAGUCUCUUUACUCGUUACGUAAUGCAUCAUCCGUAACCAACUCAUUGGUUACAUUGCUUGCAAGGCUUAUAGUGAUGUGCAUUACCGAGAGGGCCCAGAGAUACCUCUCCGACAAUCGAAGUGACAAAACCUAAUCUCGAAAUACGCCAACUCAACAUGUACCUUCGGAGACACCUGUCGUACUCCUUUGUAAUCACCCAGUUACAUUGUGACGUUUGGUAGUACCCAAAGUGUUCCUCCGGUAAAAGGGAGUUGCAUAAUUCUCAUUGUUACAGGAACAUGUGUAAGUCAUGAAGAAAGCAAUAGCAGUAUACUAAACGAUCAAGUGCUAGGCUAACGGAAUGGGUCAUGUCAAUCACAUCAUUCUCCUAAUGAUGUGAUUCCAUUAAUCAAAUGACAACACAUGUCUAUGGUUAGGAAACAUAACCAUCUUUGGUCAAUGAGCUAGUCAAGUAGAGGCAUACUAGUGACUAUAUGGUUGUCUAUGUAUUCACACAUGUAUCAUGUUUCCGGUUAAUACAAUUCUAGCAUGAAUAAUAAACAUUUAUCAUGAUAUGAGGAAAUAAAUAAUAACUUUAUUAUUGCCUCUAGGGCAUAUUUCCUUCAGUCUCCCACUUGCACUAGAGUCAAUAAUCUAGAUUACAUAGUAAUGAUUCUAACACCCAUGGAGUCUUGGUGCUGAUCAUGUUUUGCUCGUGAGAGAGGCUUAGUCAACGGGUCUGCAACAUUCAGAUCCGUAUGUAUCUUGCAAACCUCUAUGUCUCCCACUUGGACUUGGUCCCGAAUGGAAUUGAAGCGUCUCUUGAUGUGCUUGGUCCUCUUGUGAAAUCUGGAUUCCUUUGCCAAGGCAAUUGCACCAGUAUUGUCACAGAAGAUCUUCAUUGGUCCCGAUGCACUAGGUAUGACACCUAGAUCGGAAAUGAACUCCUUCAUCCAGACUCCUUCAUUUGCUGCUUCUGAAGCAGCUAUGUACUCCGCUUCACAUGUAGAUCCCGCCACGACGCUUUGUUUAGAACUGCACCAACUUACAGCUCCGCCGUUUAAUAAAAACACGUAUCCGGUUUGCGAUUUAGAAUCAUCCGGAUCUGUGUCAAAGCUUGCAUCGACAUAACCAUUUACAACUAGCUCUUUGUCACCUCCAUAUACGAGAAACAUAUCCUUAGUCCUUUUCAGGUAUUUCAGGAUGUUCUUGACCGCUGUCCAGUGAUCCACUCAUGGAUUACUUUGGUACCUUCCUGCCAAACUUAUUGCUAAGCAUACGUCAGGUCUGGUACACAGCAUUGCAUACAUGAUAGAGCCUAUGGCUGAAGCAUAGGGAACCUCUUUCAUUUUCUCUCUAUCUUCUGAUGUGGUCGGGCAUUGAGUUUGACUCAACUUCACACCUUGUAGCACGGGCAAGAACCCUUUCUUUGCCUGAUCCAUUUUGAACUUUUUCAAAAUUUUAUCAAGGUAUGUACUUUGUGAAAGUCCUAUUAAGCGUCUUGAUCUAUCUCUAUAGAUCUUGAUGCCCAAUAUGUAAGUAGCUUCACCGUGGUCUUUCAAUGAAAAACUUUUAUUCAAGUAUCCCUUUAUGCUAUCCAGAAAUUCUAUAUCAUUUCCAAUUAAUAAUAUGUCAUCUACAUAUAAUAUUAGAAAUGCUACAGAGCUCCCACUCACUUUCUUGUAAAUAUAGGCUUCUCCCAAAGUCUGUAUAAAACCAUAUGCUUUGAUCACACUAUCAAAACGUUUAUUCCAACUCCGAGAUGCUUGCACCAGUCCAUAAAUGGAUCGCUGGAGCUUGCAUACUUUGUUAGCACCUUUUGGAUCAACAAAACCUUCUGGCUGCAUCAUAUACAACUCUUAUUCCAGAAAUCCAUUCAAGAAUGCAGUUUUGACAUCCAUUUGCCAAAUUUCAUAAUCAUGAAAUGUAGCAAUAGCUAACAUGAUUCGGACAGACUUAAGCAUCGCUACGGGUGAGAAAGUCUCAUCGUAGUCAACCCCUUGAACUUGUCGAAAACCUUUCGCAACAAGUCGAGCUUUAUAGACAGUUAUAUUACCAUCAGUGUCAGUCUUCUUCUUAAAGAUCCAUUUAUUCUCAAUGGCUUGCCGAUCAUCGGGCAAGUCAACCAAAGUCCAUACUUUGUUUUCAUACAUGGAUCCCAUCUCAGAUUUCAUGGCCUCUAGCCAUUUUGCAGAAUCUGGGCUCAUCAUCGCUUCCUCAUAGUUCGUAGGUUCAUAAUGGUCAAGUAACAUGACUUCCAGAAUAGGAUUACCGUACCACUCUGGUGUGGAUCUUACUCUGGUAGACCUAUGAGGUUCAGUAGAAACUUGAUCUGAAGUUUCAUGAUCAAUAUCAUUAGCUUCCUCACUAGUUGGUGUAGUUGUCACAGGAACCGGUUCUUGUGAUGAACUACUUUCCAACAAGGGAGCAGAUACAGUUAUCUCAUCAAGUUCUACUUUCCUCCCACUCACUUCUUUCGAGAGCAACUCCUUCUCUAGAAAGGAUCCGAUUUUAGCAACGAAAAUCUUGCCCUCAGAUCUGUGAUAGAAGGUGUACCCAAUAGUCUCUUUUGGGUAUCCUAUGAAGACACAUUUCUCCGAUUUGGGUUCGAGCUUAUCUGGUUGAAGUUUCUUCACAUAAGCAUCGCAGCCCCAAACUUUAAGAAACGACAACUUUGGUUUCUUGCCAAACCACAGUUCAUAAGGUGUCGUCUCAAUGGAUUUUGAUGUUGCCCUAUUUAACGUGAAUGCGGCCGUCUCUAAAGCAUAACCCCAAAAUGAUAGCGGUAAAUCAGUAAGAGACAUCAUAGAUCGCACCAUAUCUAGUAAAGUACGAUUACGACAUUCAGACACACCAUUUCGUUGUGGUGUUCCGGGUGGCAUGAGUUGCGAAACUAUUCCGCAUUGUUUCAAGUGUAGACCAAACUCGUAACUCAAAUAUUCUCCUCCACGAUCAGAUCGUAGAAACUUUAUUUUCUUGUUACGAUGAUUUUCCACUUCACUCUGAAAUUCUUUGAACUUUUCAAAUGUUUCAGACUUGUGUUUCAUUAAGUAGAUAUACCCAUAUCUGCUCAAAUCAUCUGUGAAGGUGAGAAAAUAACGAUAUCCGCCGCGAGCCUCAACAUUCAUUGGACCACAAACAUCAGUAUGUAUGAUUUCCAAUAAAUCAGUUGCCCGCUCCAUAGUUCCGGAGAACGGCGUUUUAGUCAUCUUGCCCAUAAGGCACGGUUCGCAAGUACCAAGUGAUUCAUAAUCAAGUGAUUCCAAAAGCCCAUCGGUAUGGAGUUUCUUCAUGCGCUUUACACCGAUAUGACCCAAACGGCAGUGCCACAAAUAAGUUGCACUAUCGUUAUCAACUCUGCAUCUUUUGGUUUCAACACUAUGAAUAUGAGUAUCACUACUAUCGAGAUUCAAUAAAAAUAGACCAUUCUUCAAGGGUGCAUGACCAUAAAAGAUAUUACUCAUAUAAAUAGAACAACCAUUAUUCUCUGAUUUAAAUGAAUAACCGUCUUGCAUCAAACAAGAUCCAGAUAUAAUGUUCAUGCUCAACGUUGGCACCAAAUAACAAUUAUUUAGGUCUAAAACUAAUCCCGAUGGUAGAUGUAGAGGUAGCGUGCCGACCGUGAUCACAUCAACUUUGGAACCAUUUCCCACGCGCAUCGUCACCUCGUCCUUAGCCAAUCUUCGCUUAAUCCGUAGUCCCUGUUUCGAGUUGCAAAUAUUAGCAACAGAACCAGUAUCAAAUACCCAGGUGCUACUGCGAGCAUUAGUAAGGUACACAUCAAUAACAUGUAUAUCACAUAUACCUUUGUUCACUUUGCCAUCCUUCUUAUCCGCCAAAUACUUGGGGCAGUUCCACUUCCAGUGUCCAGUCUGCUUGCAGUAGAAGCACUUAGUUUCAGGCUUAGGUCCAGACUUGGGUUUCUUCUCUUGAGCAGCAACUUGUUUGCUGUUCUUUUUGAAGUUCCCCUUCUUCUUCCCUUUGCCCUUUUUCUUGAAACUGGUGGUCUUGUUAACCAUCAACACUUGAUGCUCCUUCUUGAUUUCUACCUCCGCAGCUUUUAGCAUUGCAAAGAGCUCGGGAAUAGUCUUGUUCAUCCCUUGCAUAUUAUAGUUCAUCACGAAGCUCUUGUAGCUUGGUGGCGGUGAUUGAAGAAUUCAGUCAAUGACACUAUCAUCAGGAAGAUUAACUCCCGGUUGAAUCAAGUGAUUAUUAUACCCAAACAUUUUGAGUAUAUGUUCACUGACAGAACUAUUCUCCUCCAUCUUGCAGCUGUAGAACUUAUUGGAGACUUCAUAUCUCUCAAUCCGGGCAUUUGCUUGAAAUAUUAACUUCAACUCCUGGAACAUCUCAUAUGCUCCAUGACGUUCAAAACGUCGUUGAAGACCCGGUUCAAAGCCGUAAAGCAUGGCACACUGAACUAUCGAGUAGUCAUCAGCUUUGCUCUGCCAGACGUUCUUAACGUCGUCAGUUGCAUCAGCAGCAGGCCUGGCACCCAGCGGUGCUUCCAGGACGUAACUUUUCUGUGCAGCAAUGAGGAUAAUCCUCAGGUUACGGACCCAGUCCGUGUAAUUGCUACCAUCAUCUUUCAACUUUGCUUUCUCAAGGAACGCAUUAAAAUUCAACGAAACAACAGCACGAGCCAUCUAUCUACAAACAAACAUAGACAAGCAAAAUACUAUCAGGUACUAAGUUCAUGAUAAAUUUAAGUUCAAUUAAUCAUAUUACUUAAGAACUCCCACUUAGACAGACAUCUCUCUAGUCAUCUAAGUGAACACGUGAUCCAAAUCAACUAAACCAUGUCCGAUUAUCACGUGAGAUGGAGUAGUUUCAAUGGUGAACAUCACUAUGUUGAUCAUAUCUACUAUAUGAUUCACGUUCGACCUUUCAGUCUCCGUGUUCCGAGGCCAUAUCUGUAUAUGCUAGGCUCGUCAAGUAUGACCUGAGUAUUCCGCGUGUGCAACUGUUUUGCACCCGUUGUAUUUGAACGUAGAGCCUAUCACACCCAAUCAUCACGUGGUGUCUCAGCACGAAGAACUUUCGCAAUGGUGCAUACUCAGGGAGAACACUUCUUGAUUAUUAGUGAGAGAUCAUCUUAAAAUGCUACCGUCAAUCAAAGCAAGAUAAGAUGCAUAAAGGAUAAACAUCACAUGCAAUCAAUAGAAGUUAUAUGAUAUGGUCAUCAUCAUCUUGUGCUUGUGAUCUCCAUCUUCGAAGCACCGUCGUGAUCACCAUCGUCACGGUGCGACACCUUGAUCUCCAUCGUAGCAUCGUUGUCGUUACGCCAUCUAGUGCUUCUACGACUAUCGCUACCGCUUAGUGAUAAAGUAAAGCAAUUACAGGGCGUUUGCAUUUCAUACAAUAAAGCGACAACCAUAUGGCUCCUGCCAGUUGCCGAUAACUUCGGUUACAAAACAUGAUCAUCUCAUAUAAUAAAAUAUAGCAUCACGUCUUGACCAUAUCACAUCACAACAUGCCCUGCAAAAACAAGUUAGACGUCCUCUACUUUGUUGUUGCAAAUUUUACGUGGCUGCUACGGGCUUAGCAAGAACCGUUCUUACCUACGCAUCAAAACCACAAUGAUAGUUCGUCAAGUUGGUGCUGUUUUAACCUUCGCAAGGACCGGGCGUAGCCACACUCGAUUCAGCUAAAGUGAGAGAGACAGACACCCGCCAGCCACCUUUAAGCACGAGUGCUCGUAACGGUGAAACCAGUCUCGCGUAAGCGUACGCGUAAUGUCGGUCCGGGCCGCUUCAUCUCACAAUACCGCCGAACCAAAGUAUGACGUGCUGGUAAGCAGUAUGACUUGUAUCGCCCACAACUCAUUUGUGUUCUACUCGUGCAUAUAACAUCAACGCAUAAAACCUAGGCUCGGAUGCCACUGUUGGGGAACGUAGUAAUUUCAAAAGAAUUCCUACGCACACGCAAGAUCAUGGUGAUGGCAUAGCAACGAGAGGAGAGAGUAUUGUCCAUGUACCCUCGUAGACCAUAAGCAGAAGCGCUAUGACAACGCGGUUGAUGUAGUCGUACGUCUUCACGAUCCGACCGAUCCAAGUACCAAACGUACGGCACCUCCGAGUUCAGCACACGUUCAGGUCGAUGAUGAUCUUCGGCCUCCGAUCCAGCAAAGCUCCAGAGAUGAGUUCCGUCAGCACGACGGCGUGGUGACGAUGAUGAUGUUCUACUGGCGCAGGGCUUCGCCUAAACUCGGCGACGAUAUGACCGAGGUGGAAUAUGGUGGAGGGNNNNNNNNNNNNNNNNNNNNNNNNNNNNNNNNNNNNNNNNNNNNNNNNNNNNNNNNNNNNNNNNNNNNNNNNNNNNNNNNNNNNNNNNNNNNNNNNNNNNNNNNNNNNNNNNNNNNNNNNNNNNNNNNNNNNNNNNNNNNNNNNNNNNNNNNNNNNNNNNNNNNNNNNNNNNNNNNNNNNNNNNNNNNNNNNNNNNNNNNNNNNNNNNNNNNNNNNNNNNNNNNNNNNNNNNNNNNNNNNNNNNNNNNNNNNNNNNNNNNNNNNNNNNNNAAGGAGCCAGGGGGGAGGAGGCGGCCGGCCAAGGAGGGUGCGCCAAGGGGGGAGUCCUACUCCCACCUGGAGUAGGACUCCCUUCUUUCCUAGUUGGAGUAGGAGAAGGGGGGAAAGAGGAGGAAGAGGGGAAGGAAAGGGGGGCGCCGCCCCCCUUCCCUUGUCCUAUUUGGACUAGGAAGGGGAGGGGGUGUGGCCCCCUCCUGCCUCCUUCCCUCUUCUCCCUCGAGGCCCAUGUAGGCCCAAUAACCCCCCGGGGGGUUCCGGUAACCUCCCGGUACUCCGGUAAAAUGCCGAUUUCACCCGGAACGAUUCCGAUGUCCAAAUAUAGGCUUCCAAUAUAUCGAUCUUUAUGUAUCGACCAUUUCGAGACUCCUCGUCAUGUCUGUGAUCACAUCCGGGACUCCGAACAAACUUCGGUACAUCAAAACUUAUAAACUCAUAAUAAAACUGUCAUCGUAACGUUAAGCGUGCGGACCCUACAGGUUCGAGAACUAUGUAGACAUGACCUAGAACUAUUCUCGGUCAAUAACCAAUAGCGGGACCUGGAUGCACAUAUUGGUUCCUACAUAUUCUACGAAGAUCUUUAUCGGUCAAACCGCAUAACAACAUACGUUGUUCCCUUUGUCAUCGGUAGGUUACUUGCCCGAGAUUUGAUCGUCGGUAUCCAAUACCUAGUUCAAUCUCGUUACCGGCAAGUCUCUUUACUCGUUACGUAAUGCAUCAUCCCGUAACCAACUCAUUGGUUACAUUGCUUGCAAGGCUUAUAGUGAUGUGCAUUACCGAGAGGGCCCAGAGAUACCUCUCCGACAAUCGAAGUGACAAAACCUAAUCUCGAAAUACGCCAACUCAACAUGUACCUUCGGAGACACCUGUAGUACUCCUUUAUAAUCACCCAGUUACAUUGUGACGUGUGGUAGUACCCAAAGUGUUCCUCCGGUAAACGGGAGUUGCAUAAUUCUCAUAGUUACAGGAACAUGUAUAAGUCAUGAAGAAAGCUAUAGCAGUAUACUAAACGAUCAAGUGUUAGGCUAACAGAAUGGGUCAUGUCAAUCACAUCAUUCUCCUAAUGAUGUGAUCCCAUUAAUCAAAUGACAACACAUGUCUAUGGUUAGGAAACAUAACCAUCUUUGAUCAAUGAGCUAGUCAAGUAGAGGCAUACUAGUGACUAUAUGUUUGUCUAUGUAUUCACACAUGUAUCAUGUUUCCGGUUAAUACAAUUCUAGCAUGAAUAAUAAACAUUUAUCAUGAUAUAAGGAAAUAAAUAAUAACUUUAUUAUUGCCUCUAGGGCAUAUUUCCAUCAAGUUAUACAAGUUCGGCCCCUUACGAUGAAGGUAAGGCCUACGUCUAGUUGGGUUGGUAUUGCUUGAGGUUUCGAUAACCAGGGAGCGAGAUAUGCUUCGCCCGGUUCUCGAUGAGUUGUUUCUUGUUCCUAAGUCGCCGGCGGGUCGUCCCCUUAUAUACACGGGUUGACGCCCUGCGGCCUAUAGAGUCCCUGCCGGCUCACAGAUAGUGUCUGGCUCAGUGACUAGUUAAUUCUACCUUAUGUUACAAUUCAUGUCAUCAUGGCGGUUUACCACUAUGGGCCUUAAGCCACCUGUGGGCCUUAGACCCUUUAUUGAACCACCAUCUUCAUGCUUGAUCUUGGGCUUCUUUCUGAUGAGUCUUCUUUGCGUAACCCGGCCCCUCCUGGGCGGCUAACACAAAUAGUUAUAUCCCCAACACCUCCCGUCAAUACGCACACCUGCAUGCACGCCUCCUGGUAUGCCUGCGCGGCACACGGGGCGUGUGGCAGCACGUAUAUUUUUUUGGUUUAUGGAUGAUUCAUCCUACCGCUUUACUGCUUAACUGAAGCAUGGCACGGUCUAACGCACACGGUCCGAAUAAAUAAUCCGUAUGAGAUAUUGGUUGCCAGUUUUUAAUAAUCUCCCAUUUGUAAGAAGAUUAUAUUAAAACUGGUCUCAUUGACGAAAAAAUACAAUAUCACAGUCUACUGGUGUCCAUAUAUGACACCACGAUAAGUUUCAUGAAUUUUAACCAAGUUUUGGAUUUACUGAAUUUUAAAAAUAUAUAUUCUCAAUAUUUUGAAAUCUCUUGCACAGGCAAACAUGCACCCAAGGACACAUAUGAAUUUGCAACCCAUUUCGGUGCACAUGUAGCUCAAAUUUGAUUUUUGCACAUUAAAUCCCUAGGAAAUCAAUCAAUGUAUAAAAACGGUUGAAUUGUGUAUGUUUUUUUAAUAACACGACACUCCGCCUUUCGUCACAUGUUCACUACAGAAAAAGUUUGACAUGCUUCAAAGCGGCUGUGGUGGUGCGGGAUGUGUGUGUUUGUGUGUGGGGGGUGGGGGAGGGGUCCGGCAGUACACUACGAGUCGUGAACCUCCGUGUGGGAUUAUUGAUCAUUUUGUGAGUCAUAUAUGCCACAUCAAAGUCGUGAAUUGGUUAUUUAAAGCAUUAUACAGCCCUUUCAUACAUAAUGUUCGGGCCACAUGCAUGCAUUGGUGGUCCUCUCGGACACUCUCCCUCGUGCGGUUAUCAGCGACGUGCCCAUUCGUUAGCCAGUAAAGGUUUUCAGUUUCCACCGACAACAAGAGGCAUUUGACCAAAAGGUGGAUUCAUCUUGGCAUGUGUGUGGUGUGGAUCAUGGUGGGAUUCCAUAUCAAAGUUCGAGCACGUACGUACACACUCCCACCGGCUUGAAGUGAAGGGGCUACGCGCGUUGUGGUGUAGUGCGUUUCCGGUUUGCGAAGCAUGUGCCACAUCAAAGUUGUGCAUUAAUUGGGUAUUCAAACAUCAUGUAACACAGGGGCGCAUGCACGCGGUGGUUUUGUCCUAUGACAUCACUCGCAUGUGCCUCUCUCUGUGGGCCCACGAGGUCGUCAUCGACCAGUUGAACGUACAACGAGAGAGAGGUUAAUUUGACAAACAACGAUGGUUCUUUUUUGGUUUGUGUUACGUAUAUGCACGGUAUAGGAGUAUGUACAUGUCAAAGAGGGGGCAACAUGAAUACUCUCUCUCUCUCUCUCUAUAUAUAUAUAGAGAGAGAGAGAGAGUAACACUAUUCUGAUCCUGGGAUCAGAAUAGUUAUUUGGAUCACGGCGCGCCCUUAUAGGAGCGAUCACGUUGUUCCCGAACUGCCCCACCAGACUCGACUAAAAAAACGGACCGUGAGGCCAUGCCCAAGAACUGCCGCACAACCUCCCCUCGAUCCCACGAUCCAGUCGCCACCGACCUCGCCCUGAUCCCACACCGCUGGUGCCCCGCCCCAGAUCCAGUCGCCUCUGGGAGCCCCGCCGCGAAACAACCCGCCCCCACAUCUCCUGCCCCGCCCCGAACCUCCCCGCCGCCGGUGCCUCACUGGCCGUCGCUCCCGCCAACCACGCAAGCCGCCGGUGUCGGUCCUCCCGUUAACGCCAUCGCCGCCAACCCACGCCAGCGCUGCCGGCUUCACCACCACCCCGCACCAUCCUCCACCGCGGGCUGCCGCCGACUGCCUUCCAGCCGCGGUCGAGUCGCCCAGCGCUUCGAUCUGCACCGGUGCCGCCUCCCUCGCCUGAAUCCGGCCACCGCACCGUCCCCGGUGCACUGCCCCUCCCGUGGCCGGGCGACCACCACCACCGGCCUGCAGCUGCUGGAGCACCGCCGACGAGCAUGCCUCCCUCCACCACCGGCCUGCAACUGUUGUUGCCCUCUUCCUCCGUGUUGCUGCUGCCAUACACUCCACCCAGCGCGCGAGUCUCCACAUCGAGUUGCCCCUCUCCUUGUACUAACAGUGCACACAAGUUGUUUGUGUAUAUGUCUCAAACAAAAAAGUGUGUUUUCUCUAACAUUUUACCCUGUCUCGGUGCAUCCUCUCUCUUUGGUUACAGGAGAAGUUCAUAUACAGCUACAAUAGCAAAGUUCAUGUCAGAAAAACUGAUGUCCAUUUAUAUGGACGUUCAUAAUUGUUGUGUGUAUGUAGGGAAGCACAAAAAACUUGUAGCUGAUAAAUUUUCCUUUUGUUUAGCCGUAGCAAUCUUUCUUGAUGCCUGCUCUUUUUGAAGUGAUUAAAUGAUGCUUGUUUAUAGUUCAUGUUGGUGCUUGAUCUUGGAAAUAUAUUACAGUGCGCGGAUGUGAUGUUGAAUUAGAAAUAACCGAGCAGUCCGAUGAGUAUAAAAAACUUAUAUUUUCCUGUUUCUCAAGAAAUAACGGAGAAGUUCAUAUUAAAAUUUAAUAUGAAGUAUAAAAAAACCUUGAAGUUCAAAUUUAGAAAAUGUGGUGGAUUAGCAUUUGUUUGAAUUUUUUCCUUUUAAAUAAAAACUAAAAUUAUUUCUGAAAAACAAAAAAAAUAAGAAGGUCAAACUACAGCAACAGAGAAGUACAAGGUUUAAAAACAAAAAAAUGGAAAAGUCCAAAUAUAAAAAGAGGAACAUUUCAAAAGAAUUUGUGAAAAAAAAUCCCCGUUAUAAAAAACUAGAAGUUAAAAUUAGAAUAAAAGGAACAAAUAAAAAAGUUUUAAAAAAUCCUGUUUCUUAAAAAACUAGAAGUUCAAAUUUAAGUAACGGAGCUGGAAAGUUGUGUGUUUUCAAAAGCUUAUUCAUGUGCAGCAGAAGUUCAAGUCAAACUAAUGGGGUGAUUCAGCGCUUAUUCUUGAGAAAGAGGAGAAAAUUAUACAUGCUCUGUAGGUCAAAAGUUUGGCUUUAAUUUAUGUUUUGUGAAGGUCAAAAUGUUGUGUUCGAGAAGGUCAAGUGUGUUAUCUCAGCAAGUUCAAAAUAAAUUUAAACAUGCAAGGUAAAACAUGUAAGAAAACAAAAGGGAGAAGUUCAAUUUCUAAAGAUGACGCGGUUUAACGUGUAAACCAAUGUUGAAAGAAAAUGAGAAGUUUAAUUUCUAAAGAUGAAGCGGUUCGACGUGCAACCCAAUGUUGAAAGAAAACAAAAAGAAAGGAGAAGUUCAAUUUCUAAAGAUGAUGUGGUUCGACGUACUAAACAAUGUUGAAAGAAAAUAAAAAGAAAAGGAGAAGUUCAAUUUCUAAAGAUGACGCGGUUUGAUGUGUAAACCAAUGCAAAAACACACACACACAAAAUGUUGUUUUGGUGUCUUAAAAUAUUUUUAUUCAUAAAAAAUGAUUAAGAAAUAAAACCAAGAAGGCCAUAUUAAAAAGAUGGAGAAGUUCGAUGAUUAUAUAAAACUCAGAUUUUCCUCGUUACUAAAAAUACGUCUGAGUGAAAACAGCAAGAAGUUCAACGUGAAAAUAGCAGGAAGUUCAAUUACUACACUGAAUGAAUUUCGGAUGAAAAACUUUUAAAACCGUUGCGAGUAUGAAAAAAUGAUCAACACGGGAAAGUUGCGUGUCUACAGCAGCUUUCCAUCGGUAUAUCAUUUGCUCAAUUCCGGUGAGUGGAUGGAGAGCUAUGAGCAGUGGAUGGAGAGCUACGGGCAAAAAAAGCACGUGAAAAACAGAGUGAAGUUCAAGGUUUCAUACCGAGAAGUUCAGGUACUUCACGCGAUGCAUUUUUCACGAAUCUGUUCCGCGAUAAAGGCAGAACGAAUGAUCUCGCCAUUUUCAACAUUACUUGAAAACAGCAGGGAAUCACAGAAAACCAUCAACAUGAAAAAGUUUCUCAUUUUCUGUAGCUUUUCAACAGUAUAUUAUUUGCCCCAAUCCGUUAUAGUUUGUAGAAAAUACGGCGAAAAUACAUUUUUAGCCAUUUUCAAAUUUUACAUAAAACCGUAAGGAAUUGGGAGAAACAAUGUAUACCAAAAAAUUUCGCAUUUCCUCAAGCUUUCCAACGCCAUAUCAUUUGUGGCAUUCGGACACAGGGUUAAAACAAUAUAUCGAAAAUACGAACUCGGUGAAACUUGUACCAUUUUCUAAAUCACUUUUAAACCGUUCAAAAUUAAAAAAAACUUUCUACAUGAAAAAUUAGCGCAUUUUCAUAAGCUUUCCAACGCCAUAUCAUGUGCCUCAAUUGGUUUAGCCAUUUAGAAAUGACAUCAAAAAUACGAACUCGGCUGUUCGGUUUGUGAAAUUUUACGAUUUUUUAAAUUACUCUUUAACCGUAGGGAAUUAGAGAAACCUUUCAACAUGUGGAAGGAGCGGUUUUGCAGCAGCUUUCCAAAGCCAUAUUACUUGCCUCAUUCCGAUAAACGGUUUAGAAAUGUGAUCAAAAUUACGAUUCACAUUUUUUGUGUGAAGAAAAAACGGUUUUCAAAACUGCUCUUAAACCGCUUACAUUUUGCAAAAAAUUUAACUUGGGUCAUGAUACUCGUGUCCAUAGCUUUCCAACGGUAUAUAGCAGCCCUAUUUGGGCAAUGUUGUGGGAAGUUCAACCUAACACAGGGGGAAGUUCAGGUCGAACAACUCAGGCAGUAAAAUCACAAAAAACGCGAUUCUUCAUGACCCGAGUGCAAAAUCCGCCUAUGAGCGAGAUUCCUAUCUAAAACGAGUAUUUAGUUGCUAAAAAUUGUUUGAAGAUUACACUUACAUCACAUGGAACAUGACUAACCAGAAAAACUCGCGGUAGAAGGCACGGUUGCGAAGAUAGCCCGAAGGUCGGGUUCGUACAGAGAGAAGUUCAGGCGCGCGUACAAACAAAAAUACGUCACAGAAGUUCAACGUGAAAACAUCAUGAAGUUCAACUACUACGUUGAAUGAAUUUCAGAUGAAAAACUUUUAAAAUCGUUGCGAGUAUGAAAAAAUGAUCAACACGGGAAAGUUGCAUGUUUACAGCAGCUUUCCAUCAGUAUAUCACUUGCUCAAUUCCGGUGAGUGGAUGGAGAGCUAGGAGCAGUGGAUAGAGAUAUACGAGGAAAAAAAGCACGUGAAAAACAGAGUGAAGUUCAAGUACACGUGUCGAGAAGUUCAGGUUCUUCACGCGGUGCAUUUUCGAAGAAUCAGUUUCGCGAUAAAGGCAGAACGAAUGAUCUCGCCAUUUUCGCAAUUACUCGAAAACUGCUAGGAAUCAGAGAAAACCAUCAACAUGAAAAAGUUUCGCAUUUUCCGUAGCUUUUCAGCGGUAUAUUAUUUGUCCCAUUCAGAUAAAGUAUGUAGAAAUUAUGCCAAAAAUACGUUUUUAUUCAUUUUCUAAUUCGACUUAAAACUGUAAGGAAUAUAUACAAAAAAGUUUCACAUUUCCUCAAGCUUUUGAACGCCGUAUCAUUUGUUACAUUCGGACGUACGGUUAAAAAAUUAGCUCGAAAAUACGAACUCGGUGGAACUUGUACCGUUUUCUGAAUUACUUUUAAACCGUUCCGAAUUAGAAAAAACUUUUAACAUGAAAAAGUAGUGCAUUUUCACAAGCUUUCCAAUGCCAUAUCAUUUGCCUCAAAUGGAUUAGCCGUUUAAAAAUUACAUUAAAAAUACGAACUCGGCUGUUUGGUUUGCGAAAUUUUACGAUUUUCAGAAUUACUCUUUAUCCAUAGGGAAUUAGAGAAAACUUUCAACAUGUCGAAGGAGCGGUUUUGCAGCAGCUUUCCAAUGCUAUAUUAUUUACCUCAUUCCGAUAAACGGUUUAGAAAUGCCAUCGAAAAUAUGAUUCACGUUUUUUGUAUGAAGAAAAAACGGUUUUCAAAAAUACUCUUAAACCGCAUACAUUUUGCCCAAAAUUUAACUUGGAUCAUGAUAUUGGUGUCCAUAGCUUUCCAACGGUAUAUCGCAAGCCCCAUUUGGACACUUUUUAGCUGAAGUUCAACCCAGUACAGAGGGAAGUUCAGGCGCGUUACUCAGGCAGUUCAGGUUGUGAUCACAAUAUUAUUCUGAUCCCGUGAUCAGAAUAGUGUUUAUGUGUAUAUAUAUAUAUAUAUAUAUAUAUAUAUAUGCGUGUCAUAACCUCGCUCCAUGUGGGGACUUUUCUGUUCCUGAGGCAGGUUCCACAUCAAAGUUUUACAUUAUAUUAGUAUUCAAACAUCACGCAAUACCAUGCAGGCGGUGGUUUCCCUCUAUAUAGGAACUCACUCGUGUGUGGCGCUUCCAUCCGUGGGCAUGCGAGGUUGUCCUCCAUCACUUUGACCCAAUGAGAGAGAGGUUACUUUGAUCAUCAAGGAAUGAUUAUUUUUUGGUUUGAACUAUAUAGUAGAAGUACAUAUAUACCACGUGUCGAAUGGGAGCGUACUUAUAGCACAUACCACGUGUCAUGAACCUCGUGCUCUCUAUGGGGACUUUUUGGGUUCCUAUAUACGUGGUGCCACAUCAAAGUUGUGCAUUGCAUAUUCAAACAUCACACAAACAGCUCUUUGGGCCACAUGCAGACAGUGGUAUGUAGUCCUAUAUAGGAUGAUCACUCGCGUGCGACGUACGCUUCGCUUCUGUGUUGGGCCCGCGAGUUCGUCGUCCAUCACUUCGACCCAGCGAGAGAGGUAUGCGUUUGAUGAACAAGGAUGAUUAAUUCUUUUAGAGCUGUAAUACUAGGUGUAUAUAUAGUACGUGUCGAGCGGGGGUGACCAGCUUGGUCCAUCACUUUCACCGACAGCACGAGAGAGGUUAACUAAUUUGACUUAGGAGGGGAUUAAUUUUUUGUUUUGUCUUGAUAUAAAUCAUGAUGUGAGAUUACAUAUAUAUAAUAGCGCAUCUGUACACAUGAACCCAUCUCAGUGGAUCGAAGGGGGGUGAGCACACGACACGUCAUGAACAACCUCUUGCUCUAUGUGGGGUCCUCUGCGAUUUUCAACGCAUGCACCACAUCAAUGUUGUGCAUUGGGUCGGGUAUUCAACACAUAUGGAUGCAUCACACACCUCCAUAAAUAUGUUCGGGACACACGCAUGCAAUAAUGGUUGUCUUUGGACACACUCUCACUCGCUUGGUUAUGGGCGGCAAGCCUAUAUAUAUUUGUGGGCCCGCGUGGACGUCCAUCAUUUCGGCCAAUGACAAGAAAGGUUACCAGGGUGGAUAUAUUCUUCUUCUUUGCUUCGAGUUACCGUAUAGUAGGUCGACCCAUUCCAAGCCAAAUUAAGUUUGAGCGCAUGCUACGCGUCGUGAACCCUCGCUCGGUGUGGGGAUUUUGCGGUUCCAAAGCAUGGUGCCACAUCAAAUUUGCGCAUUGGGUAUUCAAACACCACACACACCACUUCCAUAUACAUACUUGGGCCACAUGCACAGAGUGGGUUUGUCUUCAUACAAUACUCCCUCGUGAGGUUAUCAGCGACAAGCUAGCCCAUUAUGCGGGACCGUGUGGGCGUCCAUCACUUUGACCAACAAUGAGAGGGGAGAGGUUGUACGACCAAGUUAGAUUCUGCUUGGUCCGUGUUACAAUACGUCUUGGUGAGAUGCCCUCCCCCCGACGUGUGUGGGGGGGGGCUACUUCGUGCUACCUGCAACCUCCGUGGGGUCGAGGAAGUCCGAUUAAUUUGCGAGGCACACGUGCCACAUCAAAAGUUGUGAUUGGUAGUUAAAUAUCACACACCACACCCUUUUCAUACAUAUAGUAGGGCCACCCGCAUGUGGUUCGUAUGUGGUCUCACCCAUCUCGCGCCACAAGCACACAUUUGUGGGUCGGCACACAGUCCACCUUUGUCGGGAAGCGAAAGGGGAAGUUUGACCAUAUAUAUAUAUAUAUAUAUAUAUAUAUAUAUAUAUAUAUAUAGGGUGGGUCUAUUCUGCUAACACCCCUUAAGACUUAUUCUGCUAACAAAAAUCCUUAUUCUGAUAACACCCACCGCAUCCGCUGCCCACCCCCCACUUUCUUCCUUCCCGAAACACCCGAACCCAACCCCCGACCCCCCACCUUCUUCUUCGCCGGGGCCCCGGCACCCCCAGGUUCUUCGCCGCCCGGGCCCGCCCCCUAAACCCACAUUCUUCCUUGCAAGGACCCCNNNNNNNNNNNNNNNNNNNNNNNNNNNNNNNNNNNNNNNNNNNNNNNNNNNNNNNNNNNNNNNNNNNNNNNNNNNNNNNNNNNNNNNNNNNNNNNNNNNNNNNNNNNNNNNNNNNNNNNNNNNNNNNNNNNNNNNNNNNNNNNNNNNNNNNNNNNNNNNNNNNNNNNNNNNNNNNNNNNNNNNNNNNNNNNNNNNNNNNNNNNNNNNNNNNNNNNNNNNNNNNNNNNNNNNNNNNNNNNNNNNNNNNNNNNNNNNNNNNNNNNNNNNNNNNNNNNNNNNNNNNNNNNNNNNNNNNNNNNNNNNNNNNNNNNNNNNNNNNNNNNNNNNNNNNNNNNNNNNNNNNNNNNNNNNNNNNNNNNNNNNNNNNNNNNNNNNNNNNNNNNNNNNNNNNNNNNNNNNNNNNNNNNNNNNNNNNNNNNNNNNNNNNNNNNNNNNNNNNNNNNNNNNNNNNNNNNNNNNNNNNNNNNNUUCUUCCCCGCUGGCACCGGCCACCGUGCCCUCCACCGCCACCUCCACGUCCACCGUCGGCCGCCCAGAAGCGCUGCGCCGCCGGCUGCCCUGCCUACCCCAGCGCGAGCCCUUCUCCUUCCCUAUUCCUCCGCCUGGACUCCGGCGACCAACGGAUCUGAGGACCCCCAGCCCUCCCGCGCCUUCUCCAUGGCCUCCUCCCUUGUCGAUGCCCGCGCUCGUCCAGCUCGACCUCAUCGGAAUCCGCGGCGAGCCCCGACCCCGACGGGGGCCUACCCACUUCCAGUGGCUCGGACCACCAUGCCUCCGCCGCGAAACUGGAAAAAGAUCCCGGCAAGAUCCGGCCUGCCGCCCGCGCUGCCCAGGGUUCGUCCUCUCUGUCCACGGCCAGACGAAGACCAGGGCGUCGGCCCCUUCCCCACCAUCGACAGCGAGAUCAAAAGACCGAGGCCGUGGCCACCACGCGCGCCCACAACAGCGAGAUUCCACCCCUGGAUGCACUGUAGCUCGGUUUGGUGGGCGCCACUGUCCUCCGACGGGUGUGUGUGCAGUGCAGUCCAGCGGCAGGGGUUGCCAUCUCCUCUCACACUUCUAGCAGCAUCAGGGGGAGGAUGGUGGAGAAAUAUUCUCCCAGGUACAAUUUGUGUGAUGUUCGUGCGUCUGUGUGCAAUUUCGGUGAUGGCCUUCAUGCCGAGGUCCAAUUUUUCAUUGUUGUUAUCCAUUGACGGCGAGCAGUGCAGCUUCUAUCAUUGCAGGUCAGUUGGGCGUCGGUGCAGUAAGCAAGCACUUGAGAGGACGAUUGGCAUGCACUUCGGUUUCAGCCAUGCGACAUUGCAGUACGGAUGCGCACGGCAGAAGGUUCGUUGCUGUAGUUUACUUGGUGUAGUUCAGCCGGUUGAUGGUUGCAGUUAAAAGGAAAAUUGUGUGGACUCCACUUUCUAUGGGAUGAAAAAAUAAGUGCAAAUGUGGUUCACUAGUUAUUUUCUCAGGGUUCAGUUAACUAUAUUUUGUGUGAUGAGAGCCGUUCCGACGUUUGAUGUAGUUAACUGAACCUUGAGAAAAGUUAUAUGGACUCGUUUGAAAAUUGUUUACCAAAGAAGUUCAUUUCGAAUUGUGUUGUGGCUCAUUUCUCUCGACCAUGCGGUUCGCUUCUUCGCACGUGUAUAGCUCGCCAAUGUGGAAAUCCAAAACUCCAAACAGAAAAAAGAAAGAAGGAAAUGAAGUGCAAAGAUAUGUUAAAUGAAAAAUGGUAGAGAAACAACAAAAAAAGGUAAUGCCGUUCACUUGACCAUUUGAUGCGGUGCAAAUGUGUUAAAUGAAAAAUGGUAGAGAAACAACAAAAAAAAGUAAUGCCGUUCACUUGACCAUUUGAUGCAGUGCGGUUUUCUCACUGAAGCAGUGCGGUCGGGUGUCUAAUGUUGUUCAUCUUGCAAGUGAUCAUUUGAUGCAGUGCGGUUUUCUAACUGAAGCAGUGUGGUCUGGUGUCUGAUGUUGUUCAUCUUGUAAAUUGCAAAAGAAAAAAUGUUACUGAAACGACAAAUAAAGUAAUGUGGUUUACUUCUCCAUGCCUUUGGGGUUCACUUACGCCCGAUAUGAAGUCCCAAAAAAAAUUGCAAUUCAUUACCGUGAUUUGGCUGGUGGAGAGUGCAGAUUUUGUAUGCUAUAAAACUCCUCUGUUGUCCAUUUGGUAAACACAAAACAAAAAAGAUCUCAAAAUGAAGCUCACUUCUAUAUUAGAUGUAGUACACUCGGUCAGUCCCUGUGGUCCACUCGCUUGGUCAACGCGCGCAAAAAAAUUAGUAAGUACGAAAAAAAGGACAACAAAAACUCAUGAGGUUCACUUUUGGUAGUGUUGCGUUUCAUUUUCGGGAGUGUUGCGGUCCACUCUCGUUCAAAAAAAGUUGAAAAAAAAGACAACAAAAACUUGUGCGAGAAAGUUUACGUCCGACAAAAAAAAUGAUGCAGUGCACUUGACUGUCUGUUGCAGUGCGGUUUUCAGUUUGAAGCAGUGCGUUCUUCUGUCCCACGACGAUUUUGGUGUCACGAAAAAACAGAGUGUCCGCUUUUUGCUAAUUUUAAAACUGCUCUUAAACCGUAAGGAAUUAGAGAGUGUGUUCUACAUGAAAAAGUUGCGUCUCGUCGAUAUCUUUCCAACGGCAUAUCAUUUGAAUCAUUUCGACAACCGGUUUGUAAAAAUUUCAAAAAAAACGGCCGCUGUCACUCGUCCUCCGCCACACGAUUUUCAAAAUUAACUUAAAACCGUAAGCAAUCUCAAAACCAUUCCUACAUAUGAUAGUUGCGCCUUGUCCGUAGCUUUCCAACGACGUAUUACACGCCUCGUUUCGACAAACAGUUCAAAAACAAGAGCGAAAACAGUACCGAAAAUUUGAAAAAAUUUAAAAAAUAGAAUUCCGCGAUUUAGUAAAUUUGAAACUGCUCUUAAACCGUAAUGAAUUAGAGAAAGAUUUAUAUAUGAAAAAGAUGCGCCUCGACGAUAUCAAUCCAACGGAGUAUCAUUUGCUUCAUUCCGACAAGCGGUUUAGGAAAAAAACGCGAAAAAACGCUCGCUGCCACUCGUCAUCCGCCGCACUAUUUUCAAAACUGCUCUUCAACCGUGUGGAAUCUCGAAAAGUGUUCAACAUGUAGAAGUUGCGCCUAAUCCAUAGCUUUUCAAUGGUAUAUUACACGCCUCAUUCCGGUAAACGGUUAAAAAAUUAGAGCGAAAACAAUACCGAAAAAACACCGCGUACAAUUUUUUUCGACACGAAGUUCACUAGUCUUUAUUGCAGUGCUCGUCGUCAAAAUGAUGCAGUGCGCUUCUGUUGAGCGUGCAGUGCCGAAGUGGUGUGCAGAAUAGUUAUUCUGCUAAUAUUAGCAGAAUAGACCGUCUGUAUGUGUGUGUGUGUGUGUGUGUUGUGUUACGGUAGGGUGAGAUUUCAGACCUAGCUAUUUGGGGGGAUGCAUUCGUAGUUAAGAUUCCCUUACCGCCGACAUGAAGUGGGGUUCGUAUGGGGUGGCUAACUAGCAAUAUUGUGCUUUUGUGUGACAGGUGCCACAUCAAAGUUGUGCAUUGGGUAUUCGAACAUCAAACCACCCUUUUCAUACAUAUAUUUGGUCCACAUGCGAGUGUCUUCGUGUUCUAACCCUUUCCCACGUUAUUCUUUUUGCCAAAUUUAUAAACAGCACACGAGUUGGAUGUAGAAACCAUAUGUGAUUGGGUACGCAACAGACAUGGGUUGGUCAGACUACCGUGUGCCAUGCAUCAGCACAAUAGAUUGGGCUCCACGAGGCUUGCCUCCCGGUCUCGAAAAUAUCUACUGCCUUGUAAUCUCGAAAAUAUCUACCGCCUGGAAGGUUUUAAUGUUUGAUAGCACACGAUUAGUAUGUGCGGACCGUGUGCGAUGCCUGUUACUCCCGCUCUGCUUCAGUCCCUUGAUUCAAAUUUUCAGUAGCCCCAACAUUUUACUCCCGCCUCGGCAUCCCUCGCAAUCUCAAAAAUAUCUGCUCGCCCUUGAUCCAAAUUUUCAGUAGCCUUGCCUUGUUACUCCCGCCUAGUAAAAAUUUUAGUUGCUGUGGUAUUUCCUCAAACACCACCUUGUGGCACACCCCCUCCACACACACCACAGACUCCCCAAAAUCUCUGCUCACACAGAGACACACCACCCCCAAAACCAUUGGUAGGUCGACGCCAUCGUCGCCACUUUUAUCCUCAACCUCUGCAUGUGUGCCGGGGAGCUCAAGGAGCCAAUUGCCAAAAAUAGGUUUAUCGCGGCCUCUUCGCCCGACGCCGGCGAGGUGGCCACUGAGGUGUCCCCAUUGUCCUUCAUAGGCUCUUUAUCAAUCCGCCCGCCGCCGCGCCCCUACGCCGGUUUGAGGACUUCCCCGUCCUCCCUCGGACCCGGCAGCCGACAAGGUCCUACCUCGGGGUCCGACAGCGGCGAUGGUGGACGUGGGUCGCCGAGAUUACAGAUCGACCCACACCUGCCGGUGGCUCGGUAGCUUCCACACGGUCGAGCUCGCAGCCAUGGAGUACGACCGUUGGUAGGUCUGCUACCAUGGCGUGGCGGCUAGGCUCAAUUUCCCCUUUAAUACACGUCCGGUCGACCUCAUUUCGCCGGAACCAUGGGUGGUGAGCUCGGCUAUGGCGCAGAGGACCGCGAGGUGUGGGAGCGCCUCGAGGCCGAGGCCGCCGAUGAGGCCUACAUGCAAGAGCUCCGCCGGCAAUACCCGGAGCUCGUGGAGGCAGAGCGGGCGAUCUUUGUCAGCGUGGUGGGCGGUGAGGUUAUCGCGCUCUCCUCUAAUGACGAGGUCGAAGGCGGUGAGGACAUCGGCACGGAGGGCGGCGAGGUGGGUGGCGAGGACGAGGAGAUCAACGUUGACAAGUGGAGGAGUGUCUUCCCCAACGACCUUGACGACGGCACCGGCCCGGACCCGGCUCGUGGCACAUCGUACCUGACGAGGAAGGAUUGGCUCGACCUCCACUUCGACCAAAAGUAGUUUACCUUAGUUUAAAUUUAUCUUUUAUGUACGGUUAUGCAAAACUAUCUAUGUUUAUGUUUGAAUGCAUGCUACUUUCGGUUGAACCUGCUUUGAACUUGAUCAAAUUGAAGUUUACAACGUUAAGUUUAGGGGAUCGACUUGAAACUGCCAAAAAUUGCUGGAGUAUAUAUAUAUAUCCACUAAGGGUUUUAGUCCUUUAUUAAAUUUUGAAGGGCCAGCUAGAGAUGGCCUUAUGCUUUGUUUAUUUCAGUUCUUCACAAUGUGAUGCUCUAUAUGUGCAACUAUUUGUUGUGCAGUUCAAUUUACCACUAUGAAUUACGAUAUUUGGUUGUUGUUAAGGAUAUUACAGUUAAGAUGCCUUUUCGUUUUUUAACAAUAAUUAGUGUACUUUAACUAGUGUACUUUAGACCUGCACAAUACCAGUUGGAAUGACUAUUUGCUUGUUUUUAAAUGUUAUGCCCGAUGCAGCUAACACACCUUUCCACUUCUUGUUUUGCUUAACUAGCGUGCUUAAGCCUGCACACUGAAGCUAUCAUUUAUAGAUUAUGUUGUCUACCAUGGAUAUAUUUGGUUGAUGUUUAGCCUGUUGUGCUUAACAUGCCUUUAUAUGUACUCAUAUAGGACAAUAUUGAGAACCGUGCUAUUUUCCAUCGAGGUUAGUUUCAUCGCAUUGCUUACAUGUACUCACUAUUCAGGAUAUCGGUAGUUGGUACCAUAUAGCCUGGGGGCUGAUAAGGGAUUAAUUGUCGAAUUAGACAUUGCACUGAAUAUAUCUGUAACCCAUUUAUCAAUAGGUUAACUAGGGCCAUAUUUAAUAUAUCUGAGGCUACAUAGCAACAUGCAUUGUUCCGAAUGACUAAAUAUGCAAUCCCAGGCUACAUGGCAACAAGGAAGAGUGUUACCUUAAUGUUCUGAUGAUGUCUAGAUGUACAUGUAAUAAAAUCUUAUAUAAUGGGAUGGAGGGAGUGUUGUACUACAUCAUUUUACAAUUGUUGUUUAGCUUCUAAUAUUAACUUGGUGCUUUUAGGUACAUAUGUCAUUGCCAAAGAUCCACACUUUGACCCUUUCUGCGUAUGGGGCAAUGAGAUAUUCAUGAACCAGCAUCAAGUGAGGAAACUGAUAAAGAUUGUUAUUAAAAUGGGUCAAAAGAUGUUAAUCGGACUAUUUGCUUACACUUCAUGCAAGACAACAGUGAACUGCAGGAUGGUAAGUAAGAACAUGUAGCCUUGUUUUUACUGCCUGUAAUGAGUUGUGUUAGAUGACAAUGUUUGAAUCUUUUUUCCUUUGUAGUGGAUCCCGAAGCAGAUUACUCAAGAUUACCUCUCAAACCACAUGAUUGGCGGCCGACCAUCACAAGGGGUUGGACUAGAGUCAUGCAUGCCUUCUGCAUCCAGGAGAGCACAAUAGGGCCCUUCCGCUUCACCUUGUUCAGCAACCAGAAUGUAUGUCACCUCUUUCUUUACCAUCUGUAAUAGUACAAGUAUAGAACCCUGGUUCAUCAUUCUUUAUUUGGUGCUUAUGUAAUUCUUAAACAUAUGUACCUAUGAAUCGAAUAAUCAUUGGUUGUUUGAACCUGAUGGAUAGAAUAAAGCUAUAACCUACUUUCAAGUUUAAAUUAGGUACAAUUUUAAAUAGCAACAAUUAAAUUAGGGCAAUAUUAUGGCGUGCAGGUCAUUACGCGCACACGAUUAAUAAAGCACAGUGUGUGCGAUAUACAUCCUAAUCCGACAUGGUUCAUAGAGAGGAAACGUGUGUAACAAUGCACGUAGUUGUCGUUUGCAAAGCGUGUGUGAUGUCAGACACUAUCACAUACGAUGCAGGAAAACUAAAUGUGUGUGAUUGUCUACCUAUCGUACACGGUUUAUAACCAUGAACUGUUUGCGAUGUGCCAGGCAUCGUCAACGUAAAGCCAGUUUGGUACGUGCCUGGAAAACUCCCAUGCAUAGAACCUGCCUGGUUUUAGGUAAAACCACAAAACUAAGACUACGAUGGCAAUGUGAGCACAAACGAGUAGCAAGGAUGAAGCGUUUGGGAUAUUCGAGAUAUCAGAAAUGGUUAUAUAGGGACAACUAUAUGCAUCAGGGCUCCCUAUCCCCGACGGUUUCUGGGUCGUGCGGGAAGGACCCCCUAUCACCCACACUCACUUGGCGACAGUUCCAAAUGUCGUCGCAGAAAGGGGUUAAAAACUAUGUGUAUAGCACCUCGUUGUACCAGUGAUAGGAUGAUACUAUUUGGUCUCCGGAAAGGUUUCAGACUGCACCGAAGUUUUAUCGGAGUGCCGGAAAGGGUUCUAGGAAGCCACUGGUACUUGGUGCACCUCAUGGGCCAAAGGAGGGAGGCGCACCAUCCCACUAGGGGGCUAGGCGCACUCCACCUCCCCUGGCUACACGCCAAGGAAGGAAAGGGGGCGCCUGUUGGGAAACGUUGCAUGGAAAUCAAAAAUAUUUAUACGCACACACAAUGAUCUAUCCAUGGAGAUGCAUAGCAAUGAGGGGGGGGAGUGUGUCUAUGUACCCUCAUACACUGUAAGUGGAAGUGUUUCACAACGCAGUUCAUGUAGUCGAACUUUCUUCGCGAUCCAACCGAUCGAGUACCGAACAUACGACACCUCCGUGUUCUGCACACGUUCAGCUCGACGAUGUUCCUCGCCUUCUUGAUCCAGCAAGAUGUCGAGGUAGUAGAUGAUUUCUGUCAGCAUGAUGGUGUGGUGACGGUGAUGGUGAAGUGAUCUCCGUAGGGCUUCGCCUAAGCACUACGAAAAUAUGACCGGCGGUGUAAACGGUGGAGAAGGGCGCCGCACAAGGCUAACAAUUGAUCUGGGGUGUGCUAGGAGCCCCCUCCUCAUAUAUAUAGGUGGGAGGGAGAGGGGAGAUGCCAAGGAGCGCCCCAAGUAGGUAUGAAUCCUACUUGGGCUCCUGCCCUUGGCCGCGCCCCCCCUGCCAUGUUUGUCGGGGGGGAAGAGGGGGGAGGACGGGGGAAUCCUAUUCCACUCUUUCCUUUCCCUUCCCCUCUUUCCUUCUACUCCUAGGCCAGCACAUAUGGGGGGCGCACCAGCCCCUUGUGGCUAGUGCGUUCUCCUCUUGGCCCAUAAAGCCCAUAUCUUUUGUCGGGGGUGCCCGGAACCCCUUUCGAUGACCCGAUAAGUACCCGGUACCCCCCCCCCCCAAACACUUCCGAUGUCCGAAUACCCUCGUCCCAUAUAUCAAUCUUUACCUCUCGACCAUUUCGAGACUCCUCCUCAUAUCCGUGAUCUCAUCCAGGACUCCAAACAACAUUCGGUCGUCAAAUCACAUAACUCAUAUAAUACUAUAUCGUCAUUGAACGUUAAGCAUGCGGACACUACGGGUUCGAGAACUAUGUAGACAUGACCGAGACACCUCUCUGGUCAAUAACCAAUAGCGGAGCCUGGAUUUCCAUAUUGGCUACUACAUAUUCAAUGAAAAUAUUUAUCAGUCAAACCAUUAUGAUAACAUACGUAAUUCCCUUUGUCCAUCGGUAUGUUACUUGCUCGAGAGUCGAUCGUUGGUAUCUUCUGAAGGAAAUAUGCCCUAGAGGCAAUAAUAAAGUUAUUAUUUAUUUCCUCAUAUCAUGAUAAAUGUUUAUUAUUCAUGCUAGAAUUGUAUUAACCGGAAACAUGAUACAUGUGUGAAUACAUAGACAAACAUAUAGUCACUAGUAUGCCUCUACUUGACUAGCUCAUUGAUCAAAGAUGGUUAUGUUUCCUAACCAUAGACAUGUGUUGUCAUUUGAUUAAUGGGAUCACAUCAUUAGGAGAAUGAUGUGAUUGACAUGACCCAUUCCGUUAGCCUAGAACUUGAUCGUUUAGUAUACUGCUAUUGCUUUCUUCAUGACUUAUACAUGUUCCUGUAACUAUGAGAAUUAUGCAACUCCCGUUUACCGGAGGAACACUUUGGGUACUACCAAACGUCACAACCUAACUGGGUGAUUAUAAAGGAGUACUAUAGGUGUCUCCGAAGGUACAUGUUGAGUUGGCGUAUUUCGAGAUUAGGUUUUGUCACUUUGAUUGUCGGAGAGGUAUCCCUGGGCCCUCUCGGUAAUGCACAUCACUAUAAGCCUUGCAAGCAAUGUAACCAAUGAGUUGGUUACGGGAUGAUGCAUUACGUAACGAGUAAAGAGACUUGCCGGUAACAAGAUUGAACUAGGUAUUGGAUACCGACGAUCAAAUCUCGGGCAAGUAACCUACCGAUGACAAAGGGAACAACGUAUGUUGUUAUGCGGUUUGACCGAUAAAGAUCUUCAUAGAAUAUGUAGGAACCAAUAUGGGCUUCCAGGUCCCGCUAUUGGUUAUUGACCGAGAAUAGUUCUAGGUCAUGUCUACAUAGUUCUCAAACCCGUAGGGUCCGCACGCUUAACAUUACGAUGACAGUUUUAUUAUGAGUUUAUAAGUUUUGAUGUACCGAAGUUUGUUCGGAGUCCCGGAUGUGAUCACGGACAUGAUGAGGAGUCUUGAAAUGGUCGAGACAUAAAGAUCGAUAUAUUGGAAGCCUAUAUUUGGACAUCGGAAUCGUUCCGGGUGAAAUCAACAUUUUACCGGAGUACCGGGAGGUUACCGGAACCCCCCGGGGGGUUAUUGGGCCUACAUGGGCCUCGAGGGAGAAGAGGGAAGGAGGCAGGAGGGGGCCGCGCGCCCCUCCCCUUCCUAGUCCGAAUAGGACAAGGGAAGGGGGGCGGCACCCCCCCUUUCCUUCCCCUCUUCCUCCUCUUUCCCCCCUUCUCCUACUCCAACUAGGAAAGAAGGGAGUCCUACUCCCGGUGGGAGUAGGACUCCCCCCUUGGCGUGCUCUCCUUGGCCGGCCGCCUCCUCCCCCCUGGCUCCUUUAUAUACGGGGGCGGGGGGGCACCCAUGGACACACAAGUUGAUCUACGGAUCGUUCCUUAGCCGUGUGCGGUGCCCCCUCCAACAUAUUCCACCUCGGUCAUAUCGUCGCGGAGUUUAGGCGAAGCCCUGCGCCGGUAGAACAUCAUCAUCGUCACCACGCCGUCGUGCUGAUGGAACUCAUCUCCAGAGCUUUGCUGGAUCGGAGGCCGGAGAUCGUCAUCGAGCUGAACGUGUGCUGAACUCGGAGGUGCCGUACGUUCGGUACUUGGAUCGGUCGGAUCGUGAAGACGUACGACUACAUCAACCGCAUUGUCAUAACGCUUCCGCUUAUGGUCUACGAGGGUACAUGGACAAUACUCUCCCCUCUCGUUGCUAUGCCAUCACCAUGAUCUUGCGUGUGCGUAGAAUUUUUUUUGAAAUUACUACGUUCCCCAACAGUGGCAUCCGAGCCUAGGUUUUAUGCGUUGAUGUUAUAUGCAUGAGUAGAACACAAAUGAGUUGUGGGUGAUACAAGUCAUACUGCUUACCAGCAUGUCAUACUUUGGUUCGGCGGUAUUGUGAGAUGAAGCGGCCCGGACCGACAUUACGCGUACGCUUGCGCGAGACUGGUUUCACCGUUACGAGCACUUGUGCUUAAAGGUGGCUGGCGGGUGUCUGUCUCUCUCAGUUUAGCUGAAUCGAGUGUGGCUACGCCCGGUCCUUGCGAAGGUUAAAACAGCACCAACUUGACGAACUAUCGUUGUGGUUUUGAUGCGUAGGUAAGAACAGUUCUUGCUAAGCCCGUAGCAGCCACGUAAAAUUUGCAACAACAAAGUAGAGGACGUCUAACUUGUUUUUGCAGGGCAUGUUGUGAUGUGAUAUGGUCAAGACGUGAUGCUAUAUUUUAUUGUAUGAGAUGAUCAUGUUUUGUAACCGAAGUUAUUGGCAACUGGCAGGAGCCAUAUGGUUGUCACUUUAUUGUAUGAAAUGCAAACGCCCUGUAAUUGAUUUACUUUAUCACUAAGCGAUAGCGAUAGUCGUAGAAGCAAUAGAUGGCGUAACGACAACGAUGCUACGAUGGAGAUCAAGGUGUCGCGCCGGUGAUGAUGUGAUCACGAUGGUGCUUCGAAGAUGGAGAUCACAAGCACAAGAUGAUGAUGACCAUAUCAUAUCACUUAUAUUGAUUGCAUGUGAUGUUUAUCCUUUAAGCAUCUUAUCUUGCUUUGAUUGAUGGUAGCAUUUUAAGAUGAUCUCUCACUAAUAAUCAAGAAGUGUUCUCCUUGAGUAUGCACCGUUGCGAAAGUUCUUCGUGCUGAGACACCACGUGAUGAUCGGGUGUGAUAGGCUCUACGUUCAAAUACAACGGGUGCAAAACAGUUGCACACGCGGAAUACUCAGGUCAUACUUGACGAGCCUAGCAUAUAUAGAUAUGGCCUCGGAACACGGAGACCAAAAGGUCGAACAUGAAUCAUAUAGUAGAUAUGAUCAACAUAGUGAUGUUCACCAUUGAAACUACUCCAUCUCACGUGAUGAUCGGACAUGGUUUAGUUGAUUUGGGUCACGUGAUCACUUAGAUGACUAGAGAGAUGUUUGUCUAAGUGGGAGUUCUUAAGUAAUAUGAUUAAUUGAACUUAAAUUUAUCAUGAACUUAGUACCUGAUAGUAUUUUGCUUGUCUAUGUUUGUUUGUAGAUAGAUGGCUCGUGUUGUUGUUCCGUUGAAUUUUAAUGCGUUCCUUGAGAAAGCAAAGUUGAAAGAUGAUGGUAGCAAUUACACGGACUGGGUCCGUAACCUGAGGAUUAUCCUCAUUGCUGCACAGAAAAGUUACGUCCUGGAAGCACCGCUGGGUGCCAGGCCUGCUGCUGAUGCAACUGACGACGUUAAGAACGUCUGGCAGAGCAAAGCUGAUGACUACUCGAUAGUUCAGUGUGCCAUGCUUUACAGCUUAGAACCGGGUCUUCAACGAUGUUUUGAACGUCAUGGAGCAUAUGAGAUGUUCCAGGAGUUGAAGUUAAUAUUUCAAGCAAAUGCCUGGAUUGAGAGAUAUGAAGUCUCCAAUAAGUUCUACAGGUGCAAGAUGGAGGAGAAUAGUUCUGUCAGUGAACAUAUACUCAAAAUGUUUGGGUAUAAUAAUCACUUGAUUCAACUGGGAGUUAAUCUUCCUGAUGAUAGUGUCAUCAACUGGGAGUUAAUCUUCCUGAUGAUAGUGUCAUUGACAGAAUUCUUCAAUCACUGCCACCAAGCUACAAGAGCUUCGUGAUGAACUAUAAUAUGCAAGGGAUGAACAAGACUAUUCCCGAGCUCUUCGCAAUGCUAAAAGCUGCGGAGGUAGAAAUCAAGAAGGAGCAUCAAGUGUUGAUGGUUAACAAGACCACCAGUUUCAAGAAAAAGGGCAAAGGGAAGAAGAAGGGGAACUUCAAAAAGAACGGCAAACAAGUUGCUGCUCAAGAGAAGAAACCCAAGUCUGGACCUAAGCCUGAAACUGAGUGCUUCUACUGCAAGCAGACUGGACACUGAAAGCGGAACUGCCCCAAGUAUUUGGCGGAUAAGAAGGAUGUCAAAGUGAACAAAGGUAUAUGUGAUAUACAUGUUAUUGAUGUGUACCUUACUAAUGCUCGCAGUAGCACCUGGGUAUUUGAUACUGGUUCUGUUGCUAAUAUUUGCAACUCGAAACAGGGACUACGGAUUAAGCGAAGAUUGGCUAAGGACGAGGUGACGAUGCGCGUGGGAAAUGGUUCCAAAGUCGAUGUGAUCGCGGUCGGCAUGCUACCUCUACAUCUACCAUCGGGAUUAGUUUUAGACCUAAAUAAUUGUUAUUUGGUGCCCGCGUUGAGCAUGAACAUUAUAUCUGGAUCUUGUUUGAUGCGAGACGGUUAUUCAUUUAAAUCAGAGAAUAAUGGUUGUUCUAUUUAUAUGAUUAAUAUCUUUUAUGGUCAUGCACCCUUGAAGAAUGGUCUAUUUUUAUUGAAUCUCGAUAGUAGUGAUACACAUAUUCAUAGUGUUGAAACCAAAAGAUGCAGAGUUGAUAACGAUAGUGCAACUUAUUUGUGGCACUGCCGUUUGGGUCAUAUCGGUGUAAAGCGCAUGAAGAAACUCCAUACUGAUGGGCUUUUGGAAUCACUUGAUUAUGAAUCACUUGGUACUUGUGAAUCGUGCCUUAUGGGCAAGAUGACUAAAACGCUGUUCUCCGGAACUAUGGAGCGGGCAACUAAUUUAUUGGAAAUCAUACAAAUUGAUGUUUGUGGUCCAAUGAAUGUUGAGGCUCGCGGCGGAUAUCGUUAUUUUCUCACCUUCACAGAUGAUUUGAGCAGAUAUGGGUAUAUCUACUUAAUGAAACACAAGUCUGAAACAUUUGAAAAGUUCAAAGAAUUUCAGAGUGAAGUGGAAAAUCAUGGUAACAAGAAAAUAAAGUUUCUACGAUCUAAUCAUGGAGGAGAAUAUUUGAGUUACGAGUUUGGUCUACACUUGAAACAAUGCAGAAUAGUUUUGCAACUCACGCCACCCGGAACACCACAACGAAAUGGUGUGUCCGAACGUCGUAAUCGUACUUUACUAGAUAUGGUGCGAUCUAUGAUGUCUCUUACUGAUUUACCGCUAUCAUUUUGGGGUUAUGCUUUAGAGACGGCCGCAAUCACGUUAAAUAGGGCACCAUCAAAAUCCGUUGAGACGACACCUUAUGAACUGUGGUUUGGCAAGAAACCAAAGUUGUCGUUUCUUAAAGUUUGGGGCUGCAAUGCUUAUGUGAAGAAACUUCAACCAGAUAAGCUCGAACCCAAAUCGGAGAAAUGUGUCUUCAUAGGAUACCCAAAAGAGACUAUUGGGUACACCUUCUAUCACAGAUCUCGAAAGAAGUGAGUGGGAGGAAAGUAGAAAUUGAUGAGAUAACUGUAUCUGCUCCCUUGUUGGAAAGUAGUUCAUCACAAGAACCGGUUCCUGUGACAACUACACCAACUACUGAGGAAGCUAAUGAUAUUGAUCAUGAAACUUCAGAUCAAGUUUCUACUGAACCUCGUAGGUCUACCAGAGUAAGAUCCGCACCAGAGUGGUACGGUAAUCCUAUUCUGGAAGUCAUGUUACUUGACCAUGAUGAACCUACGAACUAUGAGGAAGCGAUGAUGAGCCCAGAUUCUGCAAAAUGGCUAGAGGCCAUGAAAUCUGAGAUGGGAUCCAUGUAUGAAAACAAAGUAUGGACUUUGGUUGACUUGCCCGAUGAUCGUCAAGCCAUUGAGAAUAAAUAGAUCUUUAAGAAGAAGACUGACGCUGAUGGUAAUAUAACUGUCUAUAAAGCUCGACUUGUUGCGAAAGGUUUUCGACAAGUUCAAGGGGUUGACUACGAUGAGACUUUCUCACCCGUAGCGAUGCUUAAGUCUGUCCGAAUCAUGUUAGCUAUUGCUGCAUUUCAUGAUUAUGAAAUUUGGCAAAUGGAUGUCAAAACUGCAUUCUUGAAUGGAUUUCUGCAAGAAGAGUUGUAUAUGAUGCAGCCAGAAGGUUUUGUUGAUCCAAAAGGUGCUAACAAAGUAUGCAAGCUCCAGCGAUCCAUUUAUGGACUGGUGCAAGCAUCUCGGAGUUGGAAUAAACGUUUUGAUAGUGUGAUCAAAGCAUAUGGUCUUAUACAGACUUUUGGAGAAGCCUGUAUUUACAAGAAAGUGAGUGGGAGCUCUGUAACAUUUCUAAUAUUAUGUGUAGAUGACAUAUUAUUAAUUGGAAAUGAUAUAGAAUUUCUGGAUAGCAUAAAGGGAUACUUGAAUAAAAGUUUUUCAACGAAAGACCUCGGUGAAGCUGCUUACAUAUUGGGCAUCAAGAUCUAUAGAGAUAGAUCAAGACGCUUAAUAGGACUUUCACAAAGUACAUACCUUGAUAAAAUUUUGAAAAAGUUCAAAAUGGAUCAGGCAAAGAAAGGGUUCUUGCCCGUGCUACAAGGUGUGAAGUUGAGUCAAACUCAAUGCCCGACCACAGCAGAAGAUAGAGAUAAAAUGAAAGAGGUUCCCUAUGCUUCAGCCAUAGGCUCUAUCAUGUAUGCAAUGCUGUGUACCAGACCUGACGUAUGCUUAGCAAUAAGUUUGGCAGGAAGGUACCAAAGUAAUCCAGGAGUGGAUCACUGGACAGCGGUCAAGAACAUCCUGAAAUACCUGAAAAGGACUAAGGAUAUGUUUCUCGUAUAUGGAGGUGACAAAGAGCUAGUCGUAAAUGGUUACGUCGAUGCAAGCUUUGACACUAAUCCGGACGAUUCUAAAUCGCAAACCGGAUACGUGUUUUUAUUAAACAGUGGAGCUAUAAGUUGGUGCAGUUCUAAACAAAGCGUCGUGGCGGGAUCUACAUGUGAAGCGGAGUACAUAGCUGCUUCAGAAGCAGCAAAUGAAGGAGUCUGGAUGAAGGAGUUCAUUUCCGAUCUAGGUGUCAUACCUAGUGCAUCGGGACCAAUGAAGAUCUUCUCUGACAAUACUGGUGCAAUUGCCUUGGCAAAGGAAUCCAGAUUUCACAAGAGGACCAAGCACAUCAAGAGACGCUUCAAUUCCAUUCGGGACCAAGUCCAAGUGGGAGACAUAGAGAUUUGCAAGAUACAUACGGAUCUGAAUGUUGCAGACCCGUUGACUAAGCCUCUCUCACGAGCAAAACAUGAUCAGCACCAAGACUCCAUGGGUGUUAGAAUCAUUACUAUGUAAUCUAGAUUAUUGACUCUAGUGCAAGUGGGAGACUGAAGGAAAUAUGCCCUAGAGGCAAUAAUAAAGUUAUUAUUUAUUUCCUCAUAUCAUGAUAAAUGUUUAUUAUUCAUGCUAGAAUUGUAUUAACCGGAAACAUGAUACAUGUGUGAAUACAUAGACAACAUAUAGUCACUAGUAUGCCUCUACUUGACUAGCUCAUUGAUCAAAGAUGGUUAUGUUUCCUAACCAUAGACAUGUGUUGUCAUUUGAUUAAUGGGAUCACAUCAUUAGGAGAAUGAUGUGAUUGAUAUUACCCAUUCCGUUAGCCUAGCACUUGAUCGUUUAGUAUACUGCUAUUGCUUUCUUCAUGACAUAUACAUGUUCCUAUAACUAUGAGAAUUAUGCAACUCCCGUUUACCGGAGGAACACUUUGGGUACUAACAAACAUCACAACGUAAUUGGGUGAUUAUAAAGGAGUACUACAGGUGUCUCCGAAGGUACAUGUUGAGUUGGCGUAUUUCGAGAUUAGGUUUUGUCACUUCGAUUGUCGGAGAGGUAUCUCUAGGCCCUCUCGGUAAUGCACAUCACUAUAAGCCUUGCAAGCAAUGUAACCAAUGAGUUGGUUACGGGAUGAUGCAUUACGUAAUGAGUAAAGAGACUUGUCGGUAAUGAGAUUGAACUAGGUAUUGGAUACCGACGAUCAAAUCUCGGGCAAGUAACCUACCGAUGACAAAGGGAACAACGUAUGUUGUUAUGCGGUUUGACCGAUAAAGAUCUUCGUAGAAUAUGUAGGAACCAAUAUGGGCAUCCAGGUCCCGCUAUUGGUUAUUGACCGAGAAUAGUUCUAGGUCAUGUCUACAUAGUUCUCGAACCCGUAGGGUCCGCACGCUUAACGUUACGAUGACAGUUUUAUUAUGAGUUUAUAAGUUUUGAUGUACCGAAGUUUGUUCGGAGUCCCGGGUGUGAUCACGGACAUGACGAGGAGUCUCGAAAUGGUCGAGACAUAAAGAUCGAUAUAUUGGAAGCCUAUAUUUGGACAUCGGAAUCUUUCCGGGUGAAAUCGGCAUUUUACCGGAGUACUGGGAGGUUACCGGAACCCCCCGGGGGGUUAUUGGGCCUACAUGGGCCUCGAGGGAGAAGAGGGAAGGAGGCAGGAGGGGGCCGCGCGCCCCUCCCCUUCCUAGUCCGAAUAGGACAAGGGAAGGGGGGUGGCGCCCCCCUUUCCUUCCCCUCUUUCUCCUCUUUCCCCCCUUCUCCUGCUCCAACUAGGAAAGAAGGGAGUCCUACUCCCGGUGGGAGUAGGACUCCCCCCUUGGCGCGCCCUCCUUGGCCGGCCGCCUCCUCCCCCCUGGCUCCUUUAUAUACGGGGGCGUGGGGCACCCAUGGACACACAAGUUGAUCUACGGAUCGUUCCUUAGCCGUGUGCGGUGCCCCCCUCCACCAUAUUCCACCUCGGUCAUAUUGUCGCGGAGUUUAGGCGAAGCCCUGCGCCGGUAGAACAUCAUCAUCAUCACCACGCCGUCGUGUUGACGGAACUCAUCUCCGAAGCUUUGCUGGAUCGGAGGCCGGAGAUCGUCUUCGAGCUGAACGUGUGCUGAACUCGGAGGUGCCGUACGUUCGGUACUUGGAUCGGUCGGAUUGUGAAGACAUACGACUACAUCAACCGCAUUGUCAUAACGCUUCCGCUUAUGGUCUACGAGGGUACGUGGACAAUACUCUCCCCUCUUGUUGCUAUGCCAUCACCAUGAUCUUGCGUGUGCGUAGGGAAUUUUUUGAAAUUACUACGUUCCCCAACAUCUUCAUACCUAGUUCAAUAUCAUUACCGGCAAGUCUCUUUACUUGUUCCGUAAUACAUCACCUGGUGACUAACUCCUUAGUCGUUUGCUUGCAAGCAUAGGAUGUGUAUUACUGAGAGGGCCUAGAGAUACCUCUUCGAUACUCGGAGUGACAAAUCCUAAUCUCGAUCUAUGCCAACUCAACAAACACCUUCGGACAUACCUGUAGAGCAUCUUUAUAAUCACCCAGUUACUUUGUGACGUUUGAUAGCACAUAAGGCAUUCCUCCGGUAUCCGGGAGUUGCAUAAUCUCAUAGUCGAAGGAAUAUGUAUUUGACAUGAAGAAAGAAAUAGCAAUAAAACUGAACGAUCAUUAUGUUAAGCUAACGGAUGGGUCUUGUCCAUCAGAUCAUUCUCCUAAUGAUGUGAUCUCGUUAUCAAAUGACAGCUCAUGUCCAUGGUUAGGAAACCUUCACAAUCUUUGAUCAACAAGCUAGUCUAGUAGAGGCUCGCUAGGGACACAAUAUUUGUUUAUGUAUUCACACAUGUAUUUAGGUUUCCGAUCAAUACAAUUCUAGCAUGAAUAAUAAACCUUUAUCAUGAAUAAGUAAAUAUAAAAUAACAACUUUAUUAUUGCCUCUAGGGCAUAUUUCCUUCAGUCUCCCACUUGUACUAAAGUCAAUAAUCUAGUUUACAUCGCCAUGUGAUUAACACCCAUAGUUCACAUCGCCAUGUGACUAACACCCAAAGAGUACUAAGGUGUGAUCAUGUUAUGCUUGUGAGAGAAGUUUAGUCAACAGGUCUGCCACAUUCAGAUCUGUAUGUAUUUUGCAAAUUUCUAUGUCUACAAUGCUCUGCAUUGAGCUACUCUAGCUAAUUGCUCCCACGUUCAAUAUGUAUCAUGAUUGAUACUUAGAGUCAUCUAGAUCAGUGUCAAAGCUUGCAUCGACGUAACUCUUUAUCCCCUCCAUAACAGAGAAACAUUUCCUUGGUCUUCUUUAAGGCAACUAAGGAUAAUUUUGACUGAUGUCCAGUGAUCUACUCUUGGAUCACUAUUGUACCCACUUGCCAAACUCAUGGCAAGGCACACAAUAGGUCUGGUACACAACAUGGCAUACUUUAUAGAACCAAUGGCUGAGACAUAGGGAAUGCCUUUCAUUCUCUCUUUAUCUUCCGCCAUGCUCGGGGUUUGCGUCUUACUCAACUUCACACCUUACAAUACAGGCAAGAACUCCUUCUUUGACUGAUCCAUUUUGAACUCCUUCAAAAUCUUGUCAAGGUAUGUACUCAUUGAAAGUCUUAUCAAGCAUCUUGAUCUAUAUCUAUAGAUCUUGAUGCCCAAUAUGUAAGCAGCUUCACCGAGGUAUUUCAUUGAAAAAUUCUUAUUCAAGUAUCCCUAUGCUAUCCAGAAAUUCUAUAUCAUUUCCAGUCAACAAUAUGUCAACCACAUAUAAUAUCAGAAAUGCUAUAGAGCUCUCAUUCACUUUAUUGUAAAUACAGGCUUCACCAUAAGUCUGUAUAAAACCAUAUGCUUUGAUCACCUCAUAAAAGCAUAUAUUUCCAACUCUGAGAUGCUUGCACCAGUCCAUAGAUGGAUCGCUGGAGCUUGUAAGCUUUGUUAGCACCUUUAGGAUCAAAAAAACCUUUUGGUUGCAUCAUGCAACUCCUCUUUGAGAUAUCCAUUUAAGGAAUGUAGUUUUGACAUCCAUUUGCCAGAUUUCAUAAUCAUAAAUUGUGGCAAUUGCUAACAUGAUUCGGACGGAUUUAAGCAUCGCUAUCGGUGAGAAGGUCUCAUCGUAGUCAACCCCUUGAACUUGUCGAAAACCUUUUGCGACAGGUUGAGCAUUGUAGACAGUAACAUUACCAUCAGCGUCAGUAUUCUUCUUUAAGAUCCAUUUAUGGCUUGCCGAUCAUCAGGCAAAUCCACCAAAGUCCACACUUUGUUAUCAUACAUGGAUCCUAUCUCAGAUUUUAUGGCCUCAUAUCAUUUGUCAAAAUCUGGGCUCAUCAUAGCUUCUUCAUAAUUCGUAGGUUCGUCUUGGUCUAGUAACAUGACUUCUAGGACAGGAUUACCGUAACACUCUGGUCGACCUAAGAAAUUCAGUAGUAACAUGAUCUGAAGUUUCCCGAUCAUCAUCAUUAGCUUCCUCUCUAGUUGGUGUAGGCAUCAUGCGAACAAUUUUCUCUGAUGUAGUACUUUCCAAUUCGAGAGAAGGUGCAUUUUCAUCAUCAACUUCUACUUUCCUCUCACUCACUUCUUUCGAGAGAAACUCCUUCUCUAGAAAGGACCCAUUCUUAGCAACAAAGAUCUUGCUUUUGGAUAUGUGGUAGAAGGUGUACCCAAUAGUUCCCUUAAGAUAUCCUAUGAAGACGCACUUCCCCGAUUUGGGUUCGAGCUUAUCAGGCUAAAGCCUUUUGACAAAAGUGUCGCAACCCCAAACUUUAAGAAACAACAGCUUAGGUUUCUUGCCAAACCAUAGUUCAUAUGGUGUCGUCUCAACAGAUUUAUACGGUGCCCUGCUACGUCUUGAGCUUGCGUUGGUUUUCCUUGAAGAGGAAAGAGGGAUGCACCAAUAGUAGCGUAAGUAUUUCCCUCGGUUUUUGAGAACCAAGGUAUCAAUCCAGUAGGAGGCUCCUCAAAAGUCCCACGCACCUACACAAACAAACAAAGAACUCGCAACCAACGCAAUAAAGGGGUUGUCAAUCCCUUCACGGCCACUUGCGAAAGUGAGAUCUGAUAGAGAUGGUAUGAUAAGAUAAAUAUUUUUUUGGUAUUUUAUAAUAUAGAUGCAAAAAGUAAAGAUGCAAAUAAAAGUAGAUUGAAAGCUUAUAUGAUAAAAGAUAGACCCGGGGGCCAUAGGAUUCACUAGAGGCUUCUCUCAAGAUAGCAUAAGUAUUACGGUGGGUGAACAAAUUACUAUCGAGCAAUUGAUGGAAAAGCGAAUAAUUAUGAGAUUAUCUAGGCAUGAUCAUGUAUAUAGGCAUCACGUCCGCAACAAGUAGACCGACUCCUGCCUACAUCUACUACUAUUACUCCACACACCGACCGACUCCUGCCUGCAUCUAGAGUAUUAAGUUCAUAAGAAUAGAGUAACGCCUUAAGCAAGAUGACAUGAUGUAGAGGGAUAAACUCAUGCAAUAUGAUAUAAACCCCAUCUUUUUAUCCUCGAUGGUAACAAUACAAUACAUGUCUUGCAACCCUUUCUGUCACUGGGUAAGAACACCGCAAGAUUGAACCCAAAGCUAAGCACUUCUCCCAUGGCAAGAAAGAUCAAUAUAGUAGGCCAAAGCAAACUGAUAAUUCGAAGAGACUUGCAAAGAUAACUCAAUCAUACAUAAAAGAAUUUAGAGGAGAUUCAAAUAUUUCUCAUACAUAAACUUGAUCAUAAACCCACAAUUCAUCGGAUCUCGACAAACACACCGCAAAAAGAGUUUACAUCGAAUAGAUCUCCACAAGAGAGGGGGAGAACAUUGUAUUGAGAUCCAAAAAGAGAGAAGAAGCCAUCUAGCUAAUAACUAUGGACCCGAAGGUCUGUGGUAAACUACUCACAACUCAUCGGAGGGGCUAUGGUGUUGAUGUAGAAGCCCUCCAUGGUCGAUUCCCCCUCCGGCAGAGCGCCGGCGAAGGCUCCAAGACAGGAUCUCGCGAAUAUAGAAGGUUACGAUGGUGAAAAUUGUGUUUCAUUGGCUCCCUAGAUGUUUUUGGGGUACGUAGGCUUAUAUAGGAGGAAGAAGUACGUCGGUGGCCGCUCGUGGGGCCCAUGAGACAGGGGGCGCGCCCUGUAGGGGUGGGCGCGCCCUCCCCUCUCGUGGCCACCUCGGCUGCUUCUUGACUUGCACUCCAAGUCCUCUGGAUCACGUUCGUUCCAAAAAUCACACUCCCGAAGGUUUCAUUCUGUUUGGACUCCGUUUGAAAUUCCUUUUCUUCGAAAUACUAAAAUAGGCAAAAAAACAGCAAUACGGGCUGGGCCUCCGGUUAGUAGGUUAGUCCCAAAAAUGAUAUAAAUGUGUAAAAUAAAGCCCAUAAACAUCCAAAAGGGGUAAUAUAAUAGCAUGGAACAAUCAAAAAUUAUAGAUACGUUGGAGACGUAUCAAGCAUCCCCAAGCUUUAUUCCUCCUCGUCCUCGAGUAGGUAAAUGAUAAAAACAGAAUUUUUGAUGUGGAAUGCUACCUAGCAUAAUUCUCAAUGUAAUUUUCUUUAUUGUGGCAUGAAUGUUCAUAUCCAAAUGAUUCAAAAUAAAAGUUCAUAUUGAUAAAAGAAAUAGUAACACUUCAAGCAUACUAAUCAAAGUAAUCAUGUCUUCUCAAAAUAACAUGGCAAAAGAAAGUUCAUCCCUACAAAAUCAUAUAGUUAGGCUAUGCUUCAUUUUUGUCACACAAAGAUGUUCCCAACUUCUAUACCCCCGAUGACAAGCCAAGCAAUUGUUUCAUACUUAAAUAAUCUCAAACUUUUUCAACCUUCACGCAAUACAUGAGCGUGAGCCAUGGAUAUAGCACUAUGGGUGGAAUAGAAUAUGAUGAUGUGGAUCGUGUGGAGAAGACAAAAAAGGAGAAAGUCUCACAUUGACAAGGAUAAUCAAUGGGCUAUGGAGAUGCCCAUUGAGGAGUCCUGGAUUAGGGGGUAUCCGGAUAGCCGGACUAUAUACUUUGUCCGGACUAUUGGAGCGUGAAGAUACAAGACUCAAGACUCCGUCCCGUGUUCGGAUGGGACUCUCCUUUGCGUGGAAGACAAGCUUGGCGAUACGGAUAUUGUAUUUCCUUCUUUGUAACCGACUCCAUGUAAACCCUAGCCCCUCCGGUGUCUAUAUAAACCGGAGGGUUUAGUCCUUAGAGGGACAAUCAGAAUCAUAAUCAUCAUAGGCUAGCUUCUAGGAUUUAGCCUCUACGAUCUCGUUGUAGAUCAACUCUUGUACUACUCAUAUCAUCAAUAUCAAUCAAGCAGGAAGUAGGGUUUUACCUCCAUCGAGAGGGCCCGAACUUGGGUAAACACUGUGUCCCUUGCCUCCUGUUAUCAUUAGCCUAAGACGCACAGAUCGGGACCCCCUACCCGAGAUCCGCCGGUUUUGACACCGACAAUGGAGCUUUCAUUGAGAGUUCCUCUGUGUCGUUGCUGCAAGGCUUGAUGGCUCCUUCAAUCGUCAACAACACGGUACAGGGUGAGACUUUUCUCCCCGGACAGAUCUUCAUGUUCGGCGGCUUCGCACUGCGGGCUAAUUCGCUUGGCCAACUGGAGCAGAUCGACAGCUACGCCCCUGGCCACCAGGUCAGGUUCGGAAACCUAAACUACAUGGCCGAUAUCCGCGGAGACUUGAUCUUCAACUGGUUCGGGCCUGCGCCAGGAGUGUCGGACAAUCACGAUGAGCACGGCUUAGACCUGCUGUCGGACAAUGCUCGGUAUAUCACCCGUGCAGUAGCCUCGGACCUAAAUCCGGAGCAGACUGCAUUGCCCAAGGACGGAUGGAUGGACCCCGUCCCGCAGGCCGCACACUCAUCGGCGGUAGAGCCGAACACAGGCCUCACCCCCAAAGAAGCCUGUGACACUGGACCCCCAGACUCGUAUCCGGCUGUAGGUUCUAGUCCGCGCGCUCCUAAGCCCGCCGAACCUAGUUGGGCUCCGGUAAUGGAGUUCACCGCUGCGGACAAGGGCGAGUGCUGAACUCGUUAAAGUCUCUCUCUUUGUCAGGAGACUCUUGGCCGAACUAUGUCCGGCUCGAGUAGGAAGCAGGCGACGAAGGAAUUCGUUGCCCACCCACCACCCACUUCAUUGCCACGGUCGAUGAUUUAACCGACGUGCUUGACUUCGACUCCGAAGACAUCGACAGUAUGGACAGCAAUGCAGGAGAAGAACAGGAACCACCGCUCAUAGGGCGGUGGACAGCCACCUCCUCAUAUGAUAUAUAUAUAUAUAUAUAUAUAUAUAUAUAUAUAUAUAUAUAUAUAUAUAUGGUGGACACUCCGAAGGAAACCAAUGGCGAUGAGGCAAUGGAGGAUAACCCCUCAGGGAAGAAAGCUAACCAUGGGCGUCGUCAACGCUGCUCCAAGCCCAGCCACAACAAUACCGGCACAGGAGACGAAAACAAUCCGGACGGUGCCAAAGAUGAAUACAAUCCUGAUCAGCCUGCCUUCAAGCAGGCCGGAUUGGCCACGGUCAGAUACUUGGAGAGGGACAACUAUAUGCCCCUUCCGAAGACGAGGUGAGCCUCGGCGAUGAUGAAUUCGGCGUGCCCGAGGAUCCCGCGGAACAAGUUCUCUUCAAGCGACGGCUUAUGGCCAUUGCGAGGAGCCUGCAAAGGAAGCAACGGCAGCUCAAAGCUGACCAAGAUUUGCUCAUGGACAGAUGGACCAAGGUCCUGACCACCGAGGAAUAAGGACUCGACUGCCCUGACAAAGGGCACACACACGGUAUAAUUCGCUACAUCAUCCUAAGAAGGAGAUACCAAGGCACAUACCCCGACGCCAACAUACCACCACGAUCCAGGAUAAUAUGCAAGAAAGACGAGGCGGCAUCCUCAAGCCUCGGCACAAUCAUCAUAAACGUCAAGCCAGGGAAGAUGGUGCCAAAUUCAGCUGUCCCAAGUCCGGUCAGCGGAAAAAGAACAGCUCAGGCCCAUCCGGCCCAAGUAGCAUACUCGAUCAACCAUGCGAAAUACAUGGUACCCCUAGAAGGGCGGCCAAGCACACCAAUAGAGAAUGCCGGAUCCUCAAAACAAAACGGCCAGUCACACGCUGGAAACAAUGAAGGGAGGUCUCCAACAACGAAAGACCAAUCAAACAUGGCGAAGUCAAAAGAAGAUCCUCCACAGUACAAAAAUACGGCUGAUCUUCACCGAUCACAUCGACCGUCCGGACAACAUCAGCCACAGCAAUUUAAUUGCACUCACUAUCGACCCAAUAGUCCGGGGGCUACAUCUGACACGAGCCCCCGCAGGCAUAAAAUUAUCAAUGGCAUCUUCUAAAAGAUGCCAGGUGCAAAAGCCAAGUUUUAUUAGCCCACCACUUCAAUGGUCGUCUUCAGAUCAUCAAACAAAUACCACGCCGAAGAGUAAGUCUUCGGCACUGUCCCCUUAUACAGUAAUUACCACACACUGCUGGGACAAGCCACGUUGGCUAGAUUCAACGAGGUAUAACAUUAGGCCAGUCCCACAUGACAUAGUCACAAUUAUGGGCAGGGCCAAACCCCACCCUUAGAGUGGAAAUCAUAAAGGUGCUAGAAUAGUGGGGCGUGCCUGUUUAUCAAAUUUUGAUUCGGCAGCCAACUACCCGGACACCAACUGAGGAGUCCACGCUAUCUUACGGCAUGACAACCUGGUUCAGCCAAGCUCCGAUCAGGCACCCGUGGUUCAAGCACAGCAGUGCAUGCACCUGCCUUCAAGCAUUUGUCUUUACAGACUAACUUUGGCACAGAACAGGACUGGCGACGCGGAAUCAGCUCGGAUGCACAAGGCAGGAACACAUAGGCAGUCCGGAUACACCUUAGAUCCACACACAGCCUCCUCCAGUCCGGCCACGACAGGUUCCGCCAAAAAACACUCCUUUUCAUAAGCAUAAACCGCACUCAUAUGCAUAAACAUGUCAUUUUACUACAAUGCGUAGACUUAAAUAACACUUACCGGACGUCGUUUCUCAUCGACGCCUUUUUGUCACAAACGACAUCCACGCCUUGUGUUAUGCCCGAUUAUGCCAGGGGCUUCAUAGUACGGCAAUAAAGUCCGACCACCUUUUCGGUCGUUCGGCACCCCGAAUUUAUAGCACUAUAUAUAUGCAUCAGCUCUGAAUCAUGUCUUGGGUCAUUAGUUGGGUUUGCCCGGCUCCCAUGUUUUGGUACCUUACGUUCUGCUCCAUCGGCUAAGGUAGCACUGGGAGAACUACUGCGAUUGUGUCCCGGUUCUUCCGGACGAGCACCUCACUAGAGAAAGACGAAAACUAACUGUCAUGAUACAGCGAGAGCUGGUCAGCUGUUCGAGAGGUUGUAAAAUCUUUAAAGAUUUAUUCCGCACAAUGCCAUUAUAAAUGCAAUGUGCGACGGAUCGGUCUUCCGAUCAGGCGCCGAUAGAGCCCCCAGUUCCGCCUUCUGAACACCAGGGGUUGCGCCCACCAUACUCGAAUUCCUAUGGCUAAGUGAGAGUAGUAAAGCCCUAUAGUCUGACUGCCUGGUUCGUAGCGAGGAGCACCUCCUUAAAAGGACCCAACAAUGGGAUAAAGAGUGUUCAGGUAUGUCCCGAACACCCUCGUACUUUUUACGUGGGGGCAGAAGCCGACGACUGGCCAACUCUUAGGAUUUAUAUACACUAAACAGCCGCACGGGAAGAACAAAUGUUCAAAUAAAAAGGCAAUAAAUAAUAAAAGUGCCAUUAUCCCACAUUACAAAGAAUGGCACAACUGCCUUCAGGGAAUUAUAGUGUCUUUGGUACACUUAUCCGCCACAAGGCGGGCUCCUUCCAAUACACCCUCAUAGUAUAACUCGGGCUUGCGAUGCUCCUUACCCUCCGGCGGCCCUUCAGUCAUCAGCUUCUCAGCAUCAAGCUUCCCCCAAUGCACCUUCGCACGGGCAAACGCCAUGCGUGCACCCUCUAUGCAGACCGAUCGCUUAAUGACAUCAUGCCGAGGGCAAGCGCCAACAAUCCGCUUCACGAGUCUGAAGUAACUGCUUGGAAUUGGCUCCGUGGGCCACAGCGGACAACCAAGUCCUUCAUGGCUAGUUCGGCUGCCUGGUGCAGUUCGACCAGCUGCUUCAGCUGAUCAAUAAAGGGCACCGGAUAAUUCGGUGCCAAAUACUACGACCAGAAAUCCCUCUUCGCAGACUUCUUCUCCUCGGUUCGGUAGAAUUGGGCAGCAUCUGAUAUGCUGUGAGGCAGAUCCGCAAACGCCCCUGGAGAAAACAAGAAUUCAGCUUAUCGCUUAGAGUUCCUCUCAUUAUCAUGUAAAAAUAGCCAUGAGUACAAAAGGCCUUACCAGCCGCAACCUUCCGAGCCUCCUGAAUAUCCCUUAGAGCACCUCGGGCUUCUUCCCGAGCAUCCUCUGCGGCUUGGAGAGCUUGGGCGAGUUCGGAUUCUUUCCCUACUAGACUCUGCUCCAAGCCCUCCCUUUUCUUCACGGCCUCCAGGAGCUCUCGCUCAGCUUCAAUGACCCUGGCCUCGUGCUUCUCACGAAGAGCCUGUUCGGCGGCGGCCUUACUAUCGGCUUCGGCCACAGCCUUCUUCAGUGCCUCAAUUUCGGUACUCGCCCCUAGAGCAUAUAAUGCAAAUAUCUUAAUUAGGCACAACUUCUAAUUCGUGCUCAACUUAGCACAAGGUUCCGACAUACCUUGUCUGUCCUCAAACUGCUUCUUCACGCGGCCAAGUUCCCCUUCGGCCCGUUCCAGACGUUGCUUUAGUUCGAACACCUCCGCAUUAUGAGCGGCGGUCGUCCCUGCAGACACCUGUUUUCAAACAAAGGGAUACACAUCAUUACCUGAGUCUCCAGCAAAACAGAAAAAUUUGAUCCCCUGUUCGGCUUUCUUUCGCUGGACAGUGCAUCAGGGGAUACUACUCAUAUUAUGACAAUCUCCCAAAGGUUUCUUAAAACAUACCUCAAAGCCCUUAAGACUAAGGCAGGAUUCGUUCAGUCAGCUCUUAGUGGACUGAAUCUUUUCAAUCACCGCACCCAUGAGGGCACGAUGCUCAUCGACGAUAGACGCGCUUCUUAGCGCUGUCGAUAGGCCGCCCGGCAGCUCUGCUUGGACAGAGGCCGCUGGCGAAGCAGGCAAGCCCCCCAAAGGCGGCUGCUCACCCGAUCCUGGAGAUUUAAAGGUCUCCAGGACCGUGUCCGGCUGGGGUCCGGACCUAAGAUCACCCCCGCCAUCGACACGCAUGGGAGCCUCUGCUCCCGUGUGUCCGGCCCCAGAGAUAUGCCCCCCCUGGUGCAGGUCCCGCUGAGACGACACCUCGGUGUCGCGCCUAGGCUUAGGGGAAGGGGCCUCUGGAGGUGUCUCGCUCGCCAGGGCAUCUGACCUCAGCGAAUCCUUCGAUGAGGACUGUCCGAAAUGGGACCUCGCCGGGCUGUACGAAAUAUGGCGACAGUUAAAACUACUACAUUCAAACAACCCCGGGCGCGUAUGCAUGUUCGGAUUUCAUAUACUUACGACUUUUCCAGGGGCUGGACCCUGGGAUCCCACUCCGGGCUGCUAUCAGCAGCCGUGGUGGAUGCCUCUGGGAGGGAACCUUUCCCCCUCUUUUGGCGAUUCGGCCUAUAGGGAUGAGGAAGCCGUCCUUUUCUUCCCACCCCCUGCGGGAGGCUCGUCUUCCUCCGCCUCCUCCUAUUCGUCUUCGGAAGAAGGAUGGUCGCUGUAGUCUUCGGAUUUUGCGUCCGAAGCAUCGCGACGAUGGAGGCCACUUCGGGUCUUCUUGACCUUCUUGGAAGCCUCUUUCUUCGGCGCGUCAUAGGGCGCUGGGACCAGCAUCUUCUUCAGAAGAGGUCCGGUCGGUUCCUCCGGCAGUGGGGCAGGACAAUGUAUUCGCUCCACCUUUUUUAUCCAUCCCUGGGGUUAUGAUAAAACAUGAUAAAAGUGUCUCCCUCAGGACAUGCCAACUGAAGCGUGGAUGGACAGAGCAUAGCAAUAACUUACCGGACUUGUAGAGUGGGAUAAUUGAUACCCACGGUCCUCGACGGAGCCCGGCCAUGAUUUGCCGGACUUAAAGAGCACCUUCCAGAUAUCCUUGUGGGAGGAACCAUAGAGCUCCCGAAGGGUCUGGUGCUCGGUUGGGUCAUAUUCCCACUAAUUGCAGGCUCGACGCUGGCAAGGGAGAACCAGGCGAACUAACAUCACCUGGACUACGUCGACGAGUUUGACAUCCUUGUCGACCACACUCUGGAAGCGCGUCUGGAGCAGUGACAGCUCAUCGGACAAGGACCAGUUCAGGCCCUUCUCGGGCCAGGACGUGAGCCGCAGUGGGGCUCCGGAUCUGAACUCAGGAGCCGCAGCCCACUUUUUGCCGCGCGGUUUGGUGAUAUAGAACCAUUGUUGCUGCCACUCCUUGACAGAGUCAUUGAAGGCGCUCGUCGGCCAUACAACCUUGGGCAUCUUGCUCACCAUGGCGCCGCCACACUCUACAUGCUCACCACUCACCACCUUGGGCAUCACAUUGAAAAUCUUCAGCCAUAGGCAAAAGUGAGGCGAAAUUCAGAGAAAAGCCUCACACACGACGAUGAACGUUGAGAUAUUAAGGAAAGAAUUGGGGGACAGAUCAUGAAAGUCAAUCCCGUAAUAAUACAUGAUACCACGAAUGAAUGGGUGAAGGGGAAACCCGAGCCCGUGGAAAAAAUGAGGAAGAAACAAGACCCUCUCGUGGGGCUCCGGAGUGGGGACAAUCUGUCCCGCCGGCGGAAGAUGAUGGCCGAUCUUUUUGGCUAGGUACCCGGCCUCUCGGAGCCUCUUGAUAUCCUUCUCCUGGACGGUAGAGGCCAUCCAUUUGCCUCAUGCUCCAGAACCAGACAUCUUCGGAGAACCUCUCUUCGGUGGAGAAGAAGAGUGCUUGGGCGCUAGGGCUCGAGCACAGGGGAAUGGACUAGCAGAGAGAAAAGGCGUGAGUGAAAAGGAAGAGACCUUAUCUCUUUAUAGAGGCGAUAAAAGCUUUUGCGCCUCCCCACUUGCCUGGUGGGACCCGCUCGUUCUCCACUCGCCACAAUUAGUGGUGCGUUUGGGUUACCCGUACCCGUAUUGGUGAGAAUCCCGCAAUAAGGGGACACGAUCUCUGCUUCGGCAGGACAUGCAGAGGAAACCGCCUUGCGAUAUGCGCUGAGGCUGGUUGUGGGAAAACGGUUCAAAUAAUGACUCGACCGUAGUAUCAUGUCGCUUUGUCUAAAAUUGCCAGCAGAUCAGAUUUAUGCUAUGCUCUCUACGGUGGUAUGUGAAGAUCAUCUUGCAGAUCCGGACACGGUCUAAGUGUUCGAUAAUUAUUUUGGAGUAUUCGGAGAUGGAACCCGCCUUGCAAUGCCGAAGACAAAACUGCACGCCGGACUCAUCGUCAUUGAAGCCUAGUUCAGGGGCUACUCAGGGAGUCCUGGAUUAGGGGGUAUCCGGACAGCCGGACUAUAUACUUUGUCCAGACUAUUGAAGCGUGAAGAUACAAGACUCAAGACUCCGUCCCGUGUCCAGAUGGGACUCUCAUUUGCGUGGAAGACAAGCUUGGCGAUCCGGAUAUGGUAUUUCCUUCUUUGUAACCGACUCCAUGUAAACCCUAGCCCCCUCCGGUGUCUAUAUAAACUGGAGGGUUUAGUCCUUAGAGGGACGAUUAGAAUCAUAAUCAUCAUAGGCUAGCUUCUAGGGUUUAGCCUCUAUGAUCUCGUGGUAGAUCAACUCUUGUACUACUCAUAUCAUCAAUAUCAAUCAAGCAAGAAGUAGGGUUUUACCUCCAUCGAGAGGGCUUGAAUCUGGGUAAACACUUUGUCCCUUGCCUCCUAUUACCAUUAGCCUAAGACGCACAGAUCGGGACCCCUUACCCGAGAUCCGCCGGUUUUGACACCGACACCCAUCAAUUGAUGUCAACAUGAGGAGUAGGGAUUGCCAUGCAACGGAUGCCCUAGAGAUAUAAAUGAAUGCUCAACAAAAGAAAACUAGUGGGUGUGCAUCCAACUUGCUUGCUCACGAAGACCUAGGGCAUUUGAGAAAGCCCAUCGUAGGAAUAUACAGGCCAAGUUCUAUAAUGAAAAAUUCCCACUAGUAUAUGAAAGUGACAACUAUGAGACUCACUAUACGAAAACAUGGUGCUACUUUGAAGCACAAUAUAUGAGACUCACUACAUGAAGAACAAGGUGCUACUUUGAAGCACAAGUGUGGAAAAAGAGAUAGUAACAUUGCCCCUUUUAUAUUUUUUCUUUUUUUUCUUUUUUUUCUUUUUUUUCUUUUUUUCUUUGGCCUUUUUUUUGCCUUCCUUUUUUUUCUUUUUGGGCAAUGCUCUAAUAAUGAUGAUCAUCACACUUUCAUUGAUUACAACAUAUGAAUUACAACUCGAAAUUAGAACAAGAUAUGACUCUAUAUGAAUGCCUCCGGCGGUGUACCGGGAUGCUGCAAUGAAUCAAGAGUGACAUGUAUGAAAAUUAUGCAAGGUGGCUUUGCCACAAAUACGAUGUCAACUACAUGAUCAUGCAAUGGCAAUAUGACAAAAGUAAAGUAUGUCAUGAUGAUGAUGAACAGAACGGUGGAAAGUUGCAUGGCAAUAUAUCUCGGAAUGGCUAUGGAAAUGCCAUAAUAGGUAGGUAUGGUGGCUAUUUUGAGGAAGAUAUAAGGAGGUUUGUGUGUGAUAGAGCGUAUCAUAUCACGGGGUUUGGAUGCACCGGCGAAGUUUUCACCAACUCUCAAGGCGAGAAAGGGCAAUGCACAGUACCGAAGAGGCUAGCAAUGGCGGAAAGGUAAAAGUGCGUAUAAUCCAUGGACUCAACAUUAGUCAAAAGAACUCAUAUACUUAUUGCAAAAAUUUAGAAGUCAUCAAAAAUCAAGCACUACGCGCAUGCUCCUAGAGGGAUAGAUUGGUAGAAAAAGACCAUCGCUCGUCCCCAACCGCCACUCAUAAGGAUUCACAAGCCAGGUACACUUCGUGUUUCAAAUUUGUUACACAACUUUAACCAUACGUGCAUGCUACGGGACUUGCUAACUUCAACACAAGUAUUCUUUAAAUUCAUAAUCACCCAACUAGCAUGACUUUAAUAUCACUACCUCCCUAUCUCAAAACAAUUAUCAAGUAUCAAAUCGAUCAUAGCAUCCAAUUCACUUUCUAUGAUAGUUUUUAUUAUACCCAACUUGGAUGCCUACCAUUCUAGGACCAAUUUUAUAACCAUAGCAAAUAACAUACUGUUCUAAAAGACUCUCAAAAUAAUAUAAGUGAAGCAUGAGAGAUUAGCAAUUUCUACAAAAAUAAGCCACCGCCGUGCUCUAAAAGAUAUAAGUGAAGCACUAGAGCAAAAACUAUCAAGCACAAAAGAUAUAAGUGAAGCACAUAGCAUAUUCUAAUAAAUUCAAUCAAGUAGGCUUCUCCCAAAAAGGUGUGUACAGCAAGGAUGAUUGUGGUAAACUAUAAAGCAAUGACUAAUAUAAUACACGACGCUCCAAGCAAAACACAUAUCAUGUGGCGAAUAAAAAUAUAGCUCCAAGUAAAGUUACCAAUGAACGAAGAUGAAAGAGGGGAUGCCUUCCCGGGGCAUCCCCAAGCUUAGGAUUUUGGCUAUCUUGAAUAUAUUGGGGUGCCUUGGGCAUCCCCAAGCUUAGGCUCUUGCCACUCCUUAUUCCAUAGUCCAUCAAAGCCUUACCCAAAACUUGAAAAUUUCACAACACAAAACUCAACAGGAAAUCUUAUAAGCUCCGUUAGUGAAAGAAAACAAAAUCACCACAUAAGGUACUGUAAUGAACUCAUUCUUUAUUUAUUUUGGUGUUAAACCUACUGUAUUCCAACUUCUCUAUGGUUUAUAAACUAUUUUACUAGACAUAGAUGCAUCAAAAUAAGCAAACAACACACGAAAAACAGAAUCUGUCAAAAACAGAAUAGUCUGUAGCAAUCUGUAACUAACACAAACUUAUGGAACUCUAAAUAUCCUACCAAAAUAGGAAGUCCUGGAAAAUUUGUCUAUUGAUCAGCAGCAAAACGAAUCAACGCAAAAGCACGUUUCUGUGAUUUAACAAAACUAAAUUUGUGCACCUAAAGUUUCUGCUUUUCAACAGAAUCAAAUCAACUAUCAUCGUAGGUUAUCCUAUAGGUUCUACUUGGCACAAACACUAAUUAAAAGACAAAAAUACAUCUAAACAGAAGCUACAUGCAAGAUUUAUUACUAAACAGGAACAAAAACAAACAAACACAAAUAAAAUUGGGUUGCCUCCCAACUAGCGCUAUCGUUUAACGCCCCUAGCUAGGCAUAAAAGCGAAGAUAGAUCUAAGUAGUGCCAUCUUUGGCACUAAAUUCAUAAGUAGCUCGCAUGAUAGAUUCAUGAGGUAAUUUGACUUUCUUUCUUGGAAAGUGCUCCAUGCCUUUAUUUAAUGGAAAUUGGAAUCUAAUAUUCCCUUCCUUCAUAUCAAUUAUCGCACCAAUCGUUCUAAGGAAAGGUCUACUAAGAAUAAUAGGGCAAGAAAGAUUGCAAUCUAUAUCAAGAACGAUAAAAUCUACGGGCACCAAAUUUCUAUUUGCAACAAUGAGAAGAUCAUAGAUCCAUCCCAUUGGCUUUUUAAUGGUGGAAUCUGCAAGGUGCAAAUUUAAAGAGCAAUCAUCAAGAUCGUGGAAACCUAGAAUAUCACAUAAAGUUUUCGGAAUUGUGGAAACACUAGCACCCAAAUCACACAAAGAAAAACACUCAUGAUCUAUAAUUCUAAUCUUUAUAGUAGGUUUCCACUCAUCAUUAAGUUUUCUAGGUAUAGAAACUUCCAAAUUAAGUUUUUCAUCAUAAGAUUGCAUCAAGGCAUCAACAAUAUGUUUGGUAAAGCUUUAUUUUGACUAUAAGCAUGAGGAGAAUUAACAACGGAUUGCAACAAGGAAAUACAACCUUCUAAAGAACAAUUAUCAUAAUCAAAUUCCUUGAAAUCCGAGAUAGUGGGUUCAAUACUAUUUAAAGUCAUGACCUCUCCAAUCCCACUUUUACCAAAUUUAGCAUCAAGAUCUAAAAACUCCGACUUCUUGGGACGCCUUCUAGGUAAAGUUGACUCAUCUUUAGUCCCAUUAUUAUCAAGAUUCAUAUUGCAAAACAAAGAUCUAAUAGGAGACACAUCAAUAACUUUAAGAUCUUCAUCAUUAUUUUCAUGGAAACUAGAAGAACACGCUUUUACAAAGCAAUCUUUCUUAGCACGCAAUCUAGCGGUUCUUUCCUUGCACUCAUCAAUGGAAAUUCUCAUUGCUUUGAGAGACUCAUUGAUAUCAUGCUUAGGAGGAGAAUAUCUAAGUUUAAGAGAAUCAACAUCAAGUGAAAGUCUAUCAACGUUCCUAGCCAAAUCAUCAACUUUGAGCAAUUUUUCUUCAAGCAAAGCAUUAAAAUUCUUUUGAGAAAUCAUAAAUUCUUUCACACUAUUCUCAAAAUCAGAGGGCAUCUUAUUAAAAUUACCAUAAGAAUUAUUGUAGGAAUUUCCAUAAUUAUUAGAGGAAUUACUAGGGUCUAGCAUUAAAGUUUCCUCUAUAAGCAUUGUUUCCAAAACUAUUCCUACCAACAAAAUUCACAUCCAUAGAUUCAUUAUUAUUCUCAAUCAAAGUAGACAAAGUCAUAUCAUUGGGAUCAAGAGGAGUAUUUUUAGUAGCAAACAAUUUCAUAAGUUCAUCCAUCUUUCCACUCAAAACAUUGAUUUCUUCUAUAGCAUGCACUUUUUUACUAGAAGAUCUUUCGGUGUGCCAUUGAGAAUAAUUAGCCAUAAUAUUAUCAAGAAGUUUUGUAGCAUCUCCUAAUGUGAUUUCCAUAAACGUGCCUCCUGCAGCCGAAUCUAAGAGAUUUCUAGAAGCAAAGUUCAAACCGGCAUAAAUUUUUUGUAUGAUCAUCCAUAAAUUCAAACCAUGAGUAGGGCAACUGCGAAUCAUCAAUUUCAUUCUUUCCCAAGAUUGGGCAACAUGCUCAUGAUCAAGUUGUUUAAAAUUCAUAAUAUCGUUCCUAAGAGUGAUGAUCUUAGCGGGAGGAAAAUACUUAGAGAUAAAAGCAUCUUUGCACUUGUUUCAAGAAUCAAUACUAUGUUUAGGCAAAGACGAAAACCAAACUUUAGCAUGAUCUCUAAGUGAAAAUGGAAAUAACUUCAAUUUAAGAAUAUCAUUAUCCGUAUCUUUCUUCUUUUGCAUAUCACACAAAUCAACAAAGUUGUUUAGAUGAGUAGCGGCAUCUUCACUAGGAAGACCGGCGAAUUGAUCUUUCAUAACAAGAUUCAGCAAAGCAGUAUUGAUUUCACAAGACUCAACAUCAUUAAGAGGAGCAAUUGGAGUACUAAGGAAAUCAUUUUGGUAUUCAAGAAAUCACACAAUUUGGUAUUAUCUUGCACCAUGGCAACAAGUAAUCCAACACACAAGCAAACAGAAAAAGGCAAGCGAAAGAGAGAGAAGAUUGGGAAAGAGAGGGCGAAUAAAACGGCAAGGGUGAAGUGGGGGAGAGGAAAAUGAGAGGCAAAUGGCAAAUAAUGUAAAUGCAAGGGAGAUGGGUUUGUGAUGGGUACUUGGUAUGUCUUGACUUGAGCGAAGACCUCCCCGGCAACGGCGCCAGAAAUCCUUCUUGCUAUGUCUUCAGCUUGCAUUGGUUUUUCUUGAAGAGGAAAGGGUGAUGCAGCAAUAGUAGCAUAAGUAUUUCCCUCAGUUUUUGAGAACCAAGGUAUCAAUCCAGUAGGAGGCUCCUCAAAAGUACCACGCACCUACACAAACAAACAAAGAACUCACAACCAACGCAAUAAAGGGGUUGUCAAUCCCUUCAUGGCCACUUGCGAAAGUGAGAUCUGAUAGAGAUAGUAUGUAACAUCCCAAAAUUCUAAAUUUUGGAAUGUUAUAAUAAAUAGAUAGUUUUGAUUGAUUGUUUGAUUGAUUGACUGAAAGUGAGUGAAUUUGAAACUUUUUGAAAGUUAAAUGAGAGGGAAUAAAAGGACUUUCCCAAACUUUCAUUUUUGCUUUUAUGAUCUUCGUAAAUUCAAAUUCUUUUCAAAUACAAAACCCUUGAGCGAAGAUGAUAUGACUUCUUCCAUUUUAUUAAAUGAAAGGGUAUUAGAAAAUAUUUGAAUUUCAUUUGGAACAUAUUUCCAACCCAUGAACUUUAUGCAACUCAAUGAUUUUCACGAGCGAAGAUAAAAUGACUUCUUCAAAACAUAUGAAAUAUGAGUUGGGAGUUUUAAAGAAUUAAAUUCAAAGUUCUUUUGAGUUUAUUUUUCGAUUUGGAGUUAUUUGAGUUUUAUUCAAAUUAUUUUUCUCCAAAAAUAAAAUAUAUGGAAAAUAGGGUAACUUGAUUCCCUACAUCAGAAAAUUGGAGAGAAAUAAAUUUGACUUCAUUUUGGUAUUUUUAAAAUGAUUUUCGUUGGAGUUUAUUAGAGUAGCAGCAGUGUUUGAUUUAUCUGAAUUAGUGUACAUCUUAUUUGAUGCUAUAAAAAUGUUCAAGUCGUAGAAAAUCUUUUUCUGAAAAUUUUGAUAUAUUAUAUGCCUAUAGUAUUUUUUUUGUUUUUUGGUUUUAUUUUAUUUUCUGAAAAUUUGUUUAAAAAAAAGACCUUUCCACCGAACUGGGCCGGCCUCGCUCCUCAGCCAGGCCCAGCCCAGCCGAGCCGCUCGCCCCCGACCUCGGACUCCCGAGCGGGAGACCGCCGCCGCCACGACAGCGCCACCGCCGUCGUGUCCUUCACGGACUCCGCCUCCCGCGCCGCCUUGCCUUGCCCCUCCUCCACGCCUUGCGCCUUCCCUCCCCUCCUUAAAUAGCGGCUCCGGGCCCGCCUCUCUCUCUGCCGCGCCGCGUCGCCCCUCCCGCAUCUCGCCGCCGCCGCUGCUGCCAGAUCCACACCGCCGUCGCCGCCGCAGCAGCGCCUCGCCGCCGCACCGCCCCGCGCCAUCUCCCACCGCUGCCGUCGCCUCGCCGUUGACCGCCGCCGGCCAACCCCGUUUAGCCGGUAAAAAACCGCCCCAGUCUGGUCUAAUCUUUUGGUUUUCCUCGGUUUUAUCUUAAAAGCGGUUUUUCCUUUUUAGUUAGAUCUAUUUAGUGGUCGUUCGUUAGUUAGGGUCUGGUAGCGAAUGAUUUUCGUUCGUUAGAGUUCUGUAACGAACGUUCGUUCUUUAGUUUUUAUCUUUUGUUUUAAUUUCGGCCAGGGACCCGUUUGUGAUUAGUUUAUUUUUAAAAUAGCCCCUGAUCUUCAAACGCCCACAACUUUUUACUCGUUUGUCCAAAUUCAACGAAACAAACGCCCACUUCUUCGUUAUGAUCCCCUCUAUCCAGUAAUCCAACUCAAACAUGUUUUUGAAAGUUUAAAAUUUGAAUUAGAUCAGAUUUGUAUUUGAACUUCGUUUGAUCGUAACUUGAGUUUCGUAGCGCCGUUUGAGUUGAUUCUUUUUGCAAAGCGAAGCUCUUGACCUAGACUUUCUGAUAAGGCCAAAUUCACAUAAUUUUGGUACUGUUAGAAAUUGUUUUAUGUUGCAAGAGUUAUUUGCUUGGUUUUGAUGUUUUCCGAAUUGUUUUCCUCGUUCUUUCCGAUCUUUUGAGUGAUUGCUUAUGUGUGGUUAAUAUUGCUUGCUCACGAUAGAUUGACCGGAGUGUGACGAGUAGAACUAUCAAGAGUUUUGAGUGUGAAUCAUCUUCAUCAACAUUGCAGGCAAGUUCACACUUUGAUCAUACCUUUUCUCAUACCCAGUUUUUAUGCAUUAGAUCAAUCCUCCAAACAAUUGUAUGAUUAGGAUCUGAAUUAAAUUGUGGGUUUUGGGAAGUAGAUUGAGGUAGCACCUAUUACCUGUUUUAUUUUCAAACCCUUGGGGGUUACUUCUAUGUUUGCUUAUUAUGCCAUGCUAUGCUAGUAGACGUGGAUUGGUUGAGUGAAUUUCCAUGACAGAUGUGAGAUUGUUAAUUAAUGGUUUAUUUAAGGUGGCAACUUAAACACACAUCUGGGUGGACUGAGGCACCUGGUUACUCCAGGACUUGCCUGUCUAGGCACCUGGGUUUCCAGGACUUGCCUGUUUUUCUUCGGACCGCCACCCAGGCUCAAAGGGAUCAUGAGAUUAUUCAAACUAGAAAUUUCCAUGUGCAGCCACAAGCCAUUAUGGGCUCUGGCAUAGUUGAUUAAGUCGUGUGAACUCUUACGGGUAGACUAGCAGAUGUAGGGGAAAGUAGGUGUACCGGUCUACCCACAUGUAAGGUGCUAGUGCUUCCUAAAGACUAUGUCUCGGUCAUUCGUUUCUCAAACACUAGUGCGAGAAACCAAACGGAGGAGAUCGAGUCUUGUGGGGAAAAGUGCGCAAACCUCUACAGAGUGUACAAACUAAUCAUGAUUAGCCGUGUCCCCGGUUAUGGACAUCUUGAGUAUCUAGUACUUGAUUUUCCUGUGAAUCUCAUCAUGUUACUUUAAAUAAUUUUGUUGGGUUAAUGAGUACUUUUAAUUGGGAUUGAGAAUGCUGUCAACCAUUCUCAAUGUUUAACAACCACCAUGAUAGUUAAAUAAAUUUAUUCCUUUGUAGUAGGGAAAAAAUUGGCUUUUCGCAAAAACAUUAUAACCAUAGAGCUUUUCCACCAGCCAAAUAUGCAUGUAGUGAUAGCCUUUAUUCAUCAUUGCUGGUGUGAAUUUGCCAGUACAUUCAAUGUACUGACCCUUUGUGGCUGCAACGUCUCAUGUUGCAGGAUCUUACGACGAGUAAGUGAUACGUUAGGGUUACGAUUUCCUAUACUCAACUUUGCCGUUGGUGUUGAUGGGAAUCCACAACCUUGUUACUUCUGCUAUUUGGAUUGAGGUAAUAGUAUUUACGUUAUUUUAUACAUGUAAUUUACCUCUGUUAUAAAUCCUCGAGUACUGUGUGUGUCAGCAUAUCAAGGGGCCCACGAGACAGGGGGCGUGCCCUCCCCUCUCGUGGCCGCUUUGGCUGCUUCUUGACUUGCACUCCAAGUCCUCUAGAUCACGUUCGUUCCAAAAAUCACACUCCCGAAGGUUUCAUUCCGUUUGGACUCCGUUUGAUAUUCCUUUUCUUCAAAAUACUGAAAUAGGCAAAAAAACAGCAAUACGGGCUGGGCCUCCGGUUAGUAGGUUAGUCCCAAAAAUGAUAUAAAUGUGUAAAAUAAAGCCCGUAAACAUCCAAAAGGGGUAAUAUAAUAGCAUGGAACAAUCAAAAAUUAUAGAUACGUUGGGACGUAUCAUGCCCUAUUUAACGUGAAUGCAGCUGCCUCUAAUGCAUAGCCCCAAAACGAUAGUGCUAAAUUGGUAAGUGACAUCGUAGAUAGCACCAUAUCUAAUAAAGUACAGUUACGAAGUUCAGACACACCAUUACGCUGUGGUGUUCCAGGUGGCGUGAAUUGUAAAACUAUUGUGCAUUGUUUUAAAUGAAGGCCAAACUCGUAACUCAAAUAUUCGCCUUCGCGAUCAGAUCGUAGAAACUUCAUUUUCUUAUUACGAUGAUUUUCCACUUCACUCUGAAAUUCUUUGAACUUUUCAAAUGUUUCAGACUUAUGUUUCAUUAAGUAGAUAUACCAAUAUCUACUUAAAUCAUCUAUGAAGGUCAAAAAAUAACGAUACCCGCCAUGUGCCUCAACACUCAUCGGACUGCAUACAUCGGUAUGUAUUAUUUCCAAUAAGUCAUUGGCCCGCUCCAUGUUGGGGAACAUAGUAAUUUCAAAAAAUUCCUACGCGCACGCAAGAUGAUGGUGAUGCAUAGCAACGAGAGGGGAGAGUGUUGUCCACGUACCCUUGUAGACCAAAAGCGGAAGUGUUAGCACAACGCGGUUGAUGUAGUCGUACGUCUUCACGAUCCGACCGAUCAAGUACCGAACGUACGGCACCUCCGAGUUCAGCACACGUUCAUCUCGAUGACGUCCCACGAACUCCGAUCCAGCAGAGCUUUGCGGUAGAGUUCCGUAAGCACGACAGUGUGAUGACGGUGUUGAUGAUGCUACCGACGCAGGGCUUCGCCUAAGCACCGCUAUGAUAUUACCGAGAUGGAAUAUGGUGGAGGGGGGCACCGCACAUGGCUAAGAGAUCAAUGAUCAAUUGUGUGUCUAGAGGUGCCCCCCUGCCCCCGUAUGUAAAGGAGCAAGGGGGAGGCUCGCCGGCCCCUGUAGGGCGCGCCAGGAGGAGGAGUCCUCCUCCUAGUAGGAGUAGGAAUCCCCUUUCCUAGUCCUACUAGGAGGAGGAAAGGAAGGAGGAGCGGGAGAAAGAAGGAGAGGGAGGAAAAAGAGGAAAGGGGGGUCGCCCCCCUAGUCCAAUUCCGUUUGGGCUAGGGGAGCCGCAUGCCCUGCCUUCUCUCUUCCACCACUUGGCCCAUGAGGCCCAUUACUUCUUCCUCAUAUUCCCGUAACUCCCCGGUACCCCGAAAAAUACAUGAAUCACUCAGAACCUUUUCGAUGUCCGAAUAUAGUCAUCCAAUAUACCAAUCUUUAUGUCUCAACCAUUUCGAGACUCCUCGUCAUGUCCCCGAUCUCAUCCGGGACUCCGAACUACCUUCGGUACAUCAAAACACAUAAACUCAUAUUACCAAUCGUCACCGAACGUUAAGCGUGCGGACCCUACGGGUUCUAGAACUAUGUAGACAUGACUGAGACACGUCUCCGGUCAAUAACCAAUAGCGGAACCUGGAUGCUCAUAUUGGCUCCUACAUAUUCUACGAAGAUCUUUAUUGGUCAAACCGCAUAACAACAUACGUUGUUCCCUUUGUCAUCGGUAUGUUACUUGCCCGAGAUUCAAUCGUCGGUAUCUCAAUACAUAGUUCAAUCUCGUUAUCGGCAAGUCUCUUUACUCGUUAUGUAAUGCAUCAUCCCGCAACUAACUCAUUAGUCACAUUGCUUGCAAGGCUUAUAGUGAUGUGCAUUACCGAGAGGGCCUAGAGAUACCUCUCCGACAAUCGGAGUGACAAAUCCUAAUCUCGAAAUACGCCAACUCAAUAUGUACCUUCGGAGACACAUGUAGAGCUCCUUUAUAAUCACCCAGUUGCGUUGUGAUGUUUGGUAGCACACAAAGUGUUCCUCCGGUAAACGGGAGUUGCAUAAUCUCAUAGUCAUAGGAACAUGUGUAAGUCAUGAAGAAAGCAAUAACAACAUACUAAACGAUCAAGUGCUAAGCUAACGGAAUGGGUCAAGUCAAUCACAUCAUUCUCAUAAUGAUGUAAUCCUGUUAAUCAAAUGACAACUCAUGUCUAUGGUUAGGAAACACAACCAUCUUUGAUUCAACGAGCUAGUCAAGUAGAGGCAUACUAGUGACAUUAUGUUUGUCUAUGUAUUCACACAUGUACUAAGUUUCCGGUUAAUACAAUUCUAGCAUGAAUAAUAAACAUUUAUCAUGAAAUAAGGAAAUAAAUAAUAACUUUAUUAUUGCCUCUAGGGCAUAUUUCCUUCAGUCUCCCACUUGCACUAGAGUCAAUAACCUAGUUCACAUCACCAUGUGAUUUAACACUAAUAUUCACAUCUGUAGGUGAUUAACACCCAUAGUUCACAUCGUCAUGUGACCAACACCCAAAGGGUUUACUAGAGUCAAUAAUCUAGUUCACAUCGAUAUGUGAUUAACACCCAAAGAGUACUAAGGUGUGAUCAUGUUUUGCUUGUGAGAGAAGUUUAGUCAACGGGUCUGUCACAUUCAGAGCCGUAUGUAUUUUGCAAAAUAUUCUAUGUCUACAAUGCUCUGCACAGAGCUACUCUAGCUAAUUGCUCCCACUUCCAAUAAGUAUCCAGAUUGAGACUUAGAGUCAUCUAGAUUGGUGUAAAAGCUUGCACCGAUGUAACUCUUUACGACAAACUCUUUUAUCACCUCCAUAAUCGAGAAACAUUUCCUUAGUCCUCACUAAGGAUAUUCUUAACCGUUGUCCAGUGAUCUACUCUUAGAUCAAAAUUGUAUUCCCUUGCCAAACUCAGAGCAAGGUAUACAAUAGGUCUGGUACACAGCAUAGCAUACUUUAUAGAACCUAUGACUGAGGCAUAGGGAAUGACUUUUCAUUCUCUUUCUAUUUUCUGCCAUGGUCAGGUUUUGAGUCUUACUCAACUUCACACCUUGCAACACAGGCAAGAACUCCUUCUUUGAUUGUUCCAAUUAGAACUACUUCCAAAUCUUAUCAAGGUAUGUACUCAUUGAAAAAUCUUAUCAAGCAUCUUGAUCUAUCUCUAUAGAUCUUGAUGCUCAAUGUGUAAGCAGCUUCACUGAGGUCUUUCUUUUGAAAAACUCUUAUUCAAGUAUCCUUUUAUGCUAUCCAAAAUUUGUAUAUCAUUUCCAAUCAACAAUAUGUCAUCUACAUAUAGUUUUAGAAAUGCUACAGAGCUCCCACUCACUUUCUUGUAAAUACAGGCUUCUCCAAAAGUCUGUAUAAAACCAUAUGCUUUGAUCAACUCAUCAAAGCAUAUAUUCCAACUCCGAGAUGCUUGCACCAGUCCAUAGAUGGAUCGCUGGAGCUUGCACAUUUUGUUAGCACCUUUAGGAUUGACAAAACCUUCUGGUUGCAUCAUAUACAACUCUUCUUUAAUAAAUCCAUUAAGGAAUGCAGUUUUGACAUCUAUUUGCCAGAUUUCAUAAAACGUGCCAAUUGCUAACAUGAUUCGGACAGACUUAAGCAUCGAUAUGAGUGAGAAAAUCUCAUCGUAUUCAACACCUUGAACUUGUCGAAAAAACUUUUGCCACAAGUCGAGCUUUGUAGAUAGUAACACUACUAUCAGCGUCUGUCUUCCUCUUGAAGAUCCAUUUAUUUUCUAUGGCUUGCCGAUCAUCGGGCAAGUCCGCCAAAGUCCACAAUUUUUUCUCAUAUAUGGAUCCCAUCUCAGAUUUCAUGGCCUUCAAGCCAUUUCGCGGAAUCUGGGCUCAUCAUCGCUUCCUCAUAGUUCAUAGGUUCAUCAUGGUCUAGUAACAUGACUUCCAGAAUAGGAUUACUGUACCACUCUGGUGCGGACUGUACUUUGGAAGACCUACGAGGUUCUGUAGUAACUUAAUCUGAAGUUUCAUGAUCAUCAUCAUUAGCUUCCUCACUAGUUGGUGUAGGAAUCACUGGAACUGAUUUCUGUGAUGAACUACUUUCCAAUUCGGGAGAAGGUACAAUUACCUUAUCAAGCUCUACUUUCCUCCCACUUACUUCUUUCGAGAGAAGCUCCUUCUCUGGAAAGGAUCCAUCUUAGCAACAAAUAUCUUGCCUUCGGAUCUGUGAUAGAAGGUGUACCUAACAGUUUCCUUUGGGUAUUCUAUGAAGACGCACUUCUCCGAUUUGGGUUCGAGCUUAUCAGGUUGAAACUUUUUCACAUAAGCAUCACAGCCCCAAACUUUAAGAAACGACAACUUUGGUUUCUUGCCAAACCAUAGUUCAUAAGGCGUCGUCUCAAUGGAUUUUGAUGGUGCCCUAUUUAAAGUGAAUGCAGUUGUCUCUAAUGCAUAACCCCAAAACGAUAGUGGUAAAUCGGUAAGAUACAUCAUAGAUCGCACUAUAUCCAAUAAAGUGCGGUUACGACGUUCGGACACACCAUUACAUUGUGGUGUUCCAUGUGGCGUGAGCUGUGAAACUAUUCCACAUUUUUUUAAAUGAAGGCCAAACUCGUAACUCAAAUGUUCUCCUCUACGAUCAGAUUGUAGAAACUUUAUUUUCUUGUUAUGAUGAUUCUCCACUUCACUUUUGAAAUUCUUUGAACUUUUCAAAUGUUUCAGACUUGUGCUUCAUUAAGUAGAUAUACUCAUAUCUUCUCAAAUCAUUUGUGAAGGUCAGAAAACAACGAUACUCGCCAUGAGCAUCAACACUCAUUGGACCGCAUACAUCGGUAUGUAUUAUUUCCAACAAGUCAGUAGCUCAUUCCAUUGUUCCGGAGAACAGAGUUUUAGUCAUCUUGCCCAAAAGGCAUGGUUCGCAAGCAUCAAAUGAUUCAUAACCAAGUGAUUCCGAAAAUCCAUCUUUAUGGAGUUUCUUCAUGCGCUUUACACAGAUAUGACCCGAACGGCAAUGCCACAAAUAAGUUGCACUAUCAUCAUUAACUUUGAAUCUUUUGGCGUCAAUAUUAUGAAUAUGUGUAUCACUACGAUCGAGAUCCAAGAAACUAUUUUCAUUGGGUAUAUGACCAUUGAAGGUUUUAUUCAUGUAAACAGAACAACAACUAUUCUCUGACUUUAAAUGAAUAAUUGUAUUGCAAUAAACAUGAUCAAAUCAUAUUCAUGCUCAACGCAAACGCCAAAUAACAUUUAUUUAGGUUUAAUAGUAAUCUCGAAAGUAUAGGGAGUGUGCGAUGAUGAUCAUAUCAAUCUUGGAACCACUUCCAACACACAUCAUCACUUCACCCUCAACUAGUCUCUGUUUAUUUUGUAACUCCUGUUUCGAGUUACUAAUCUUUUUAGCAACCGAACAAGUAUCAAAUACUCAGGGGCUACUAUAAACACUAGUAAGGUACACAUCAAUAACCUGUAUAUCAAAUAUACCAUUGUUCACUCUGCCAUCCUUCUCAUCCACCAAAUAUUCAGGGCAUUUCCGCUUCCAGUGACCAUUUCCUUUGCAGUGUAAGCACUCAGUUUCAGGCUUUGGUCUAGAUUUGGGCUUCUUUGCGGGAGUGACAACUUGCUUGUCAUUCUACUUGUAGUUCCCUUUCUUUCCCUUUGCCCUUUUCUUGAAACUAGUGGUCUUGUCAAUCAUCAACACUUGAUGCUCUUUCUUGAUUUCUACCUUCGUCGAUUUCAACAUCACGAAGAGCUCGGGAAUCGUUUUCGUCAUCCCUUGCAUACUAUAGUUCAUCACGAAGUUCUAGUAACUUUGUGAUGGUGACUAGAGAACUCUGACAAUCACUAUCUUAUCUGGAAGAUUAACUCCCACUUGAUUCAAGCGAUUGUAGUACCCAGACAAUCUGAGCACAUGCUCACUAGUUGAGCAAUUCUUCUCCAUCUUUUAGCUAUAGAACUUGUUGGAGACUUCAUAUCUCUCAACUCGGGUAUUUGCUUGAAAUAUUAACUUUAACUCCUGGAACAUCUCAUAUGGUCCAUGACGUUCAAAACAUCUUUGAAGUCCCGAUUCUAAGCCGUUAAGCAUGGUGCACUAAACCAUUACGUAGUCAUCAUAUUGAGCUGGCCAAACAUUCAUAACGUCUGCAUCUGCUCCUGCAAUAGGUCUGUCACCUAGCGGUGCAUCAAGGACAUAAUUCUUCUGUGCAACAAUGAGGAUAAACCUCAGAUCACAGACCCAGUCCGCAUCAUUGCUACUAUCAUCUUUCAACUUAGUUUUCUCUAGGACCACAUAUAAAACAUAUGGAAGCAACAAUGCGAGCUAUUGAUCUACAACAUAAUUUGCAAAAUACUAUCAAGACUAAGUUCAUCAUAAAUUAAAGUUCAAUUAAUCAUAUUACUUAAGAACUCCCUCUUAGAUAGACAUCCCUCUAAUCAUCUAAGUGACCACGUGAUCCAAAUCAACUAAACCAUGUCCGAUCAUCACGUGAGAUGGAGUAGUUUUCAAUGGUGAACAUCACUAUGUUGAUCAUAUCUACUAUAUGGUUCACGCUCGACCUUUCGGUCUCAGUGUUCUGAGGCCAUAUCUGCAUAUGCUAGGCUCGUCAAGUUUAACCUGAGUAUUCUGCAUGUGUAAAAUUGUCUUACACCUGUUGUAUUUGAAGGUAGAGCUUAUCACACCCGAUCAUCACAUGGUGUCUCAGCACAAAGAACUUUCGCAACGGUGCGUACUCAGGGAGAACACUUAUACCUUGAAAUUUAGUGAGAGAUCAUCUUAUAAUGCUAUCGUCAAUCAAGAAAAUAAGAUGCAUAAAGGAUAAACAUCACAUGCAAACAAUAUAAGUAAUAUGAUAUGGCCAACAUCAUCUUGUGCUUGUGAUCUCCAUCUCCGAAGCACCAUCAUGACCACCAUCGUCACCGGCGCGACACCUUGAUCUCCAUUGUAGCAUCGUUGUUGUCUCGCCAACUAUUGCUUCUAUGACUAUCGCUACUGCUUAGUGAUAAAGUAAAGCAAUUACAGGGCGAUUACAUUGCAUACAAUAAAGCGACAACCAUAUGGCUCCUGCUAGUUGCCGAUAACUUUGUUACAAAACAUGAUCAUCUCACACAGUAAAAUUUAGCAUCAUGUCUUGACCAUAUCACAUCACAACAUGCCCUGCAGAAACAAAUUAGACGCCCUCUACUUUGUUGUUGCAAGUUUUACGUGGCUGCUACAGGCUGAGCAAGAACCGUUCUUACCUACGCAACAAAACCACAACGAUAGUUCGUCAAGUUAGUGAUGUUUUAACCUUCUCAAGGACCGGGCGUAGCCACACUCGGUUCAACUAAAGUUGGAGAAACUGACACCCGCCAGCCAGCUAUGUGCAAAGCACGUCGGUAGAACCAGUCUCGCGUAAGCGUACGCGUAAUGUCGGUCCGGGCCCUUCAUCCAACAAUACUGCCGAACCAAAGUAUGACAUGCUGGUAAGCAGUAUGACUUGUAUCGCCCACAACUCACUUGUGUUCUACUCAUGCAUAUAACAUCUACGCAUAAAACCAGGCUCAGAUGCCACUGUUGGGGAAUGUAGUAAUUUCAAAAAAAUUCCUACGCACAUGCAAGAUCAUGGUGAUGCAUAGCUGCACAGAAGAAUUAUGUCCUUGAUGCACCGAUCAAGUACCGAAUGUAUGGCACCUCCGAGUUCAGCACACGUUCAGCUCGAUGAUCUCCCACGAACUUCGAUCCAACAGAGCUCUGCGGUAGAAUUCCGUCAGCACAACGGCGUGAUGACGGUGUUGAUGAUGCUACCGACGCAGGGCUUCGCCUAAGCACCGCUAUGAUAUUACCGAGGUGGAAUAUGGUGGAGGGGGGCAGCGCACACGGCUAAGAGAUCAAUGAUCAAGUGUGUCUAGAGGUGCCCCUCUGCCCCCAUAUAUAAAGGAGCAAGGGGGGAGGCCGGCCGGCCCCUGUAGGGCGCGCCAGGAGGAGGAGUCCUCCUCCUAGUAGGAGUAGGACUCCCCUUUCCUAGUCCUACUAGGAGGAGGAAAGGAAGGAGGAGAGGGAGAAAGAAGGAGAGGGGGGAAAGAGGAAAGGGGGCCGCCCCCCUAGUCCAAUUCGGUUUGGGCUAGGCGAGCCGCGCGCCCUGCCUUCUCUCUUCCAUCACUUGGCCCAUGAGGCCCAUUAUUUCUUCCUUGUAUUCCUGUAACUCCCCGUUACCCCGAAAAAUACCCGAAUCACUCGGAACCUUUCCGAUGUCCGAAUAUAGUCGUCGAAUAUAUCGGUCUUUACGUCUCGACCAUUUCGAGACUCCUCAUCAUGUCCCCGAUCUCAUCCGGGACUCCGAACUACCUUCGGUACAUCAAAACACAUAAACUCAUAUUACCAAUCGUCACCGAACGUUAAGCGUGCGGACCCUACGGGUUCGAGAACUAUGUAGACAUGACCGAGACACGUCUCCGGUCAAUAACCAAUAGCGGAACCUGGAUGCUCAUAUUGGCUCCUACAUAUUCUACAUAGAUCUUUAUCGGUCAAACCGCAUAACAACAUACGUUGUUCCCUUUGUCAUCAGUAUGUUACUUGCCCGAGAUUCGAUCGUCAGUAUCAAGAUACCUAGUUCAAUUUCGUUACCGGCAAGUCUCUUUACUAGUUAUGUAAUGCAUCAUCCCGCAACUAACUCAUUAGUCACAUUGCUUGUAAGGCUUAUAGUGAUGUGCAUUACCGAGAGGGCCCAGAGAUACCUCUCCGACAAUCGGAGUGACAAAUCCUAAUCUCGAGAUACGCCAACUCAACAUGUACCUUCAGAGACACCUGCAGAGCUCCUUUAUAAUCACCCAGUUAUGUUGUGACGUUUGGUAGCACACAAAGUGUUUCUCCAGUAAACGGGAGUUGCAUAAUCUCAUAGUCAUAGGAACAUGUAUAAGUCAUGAAGAAAGCAAUAGCAACAUACUAAACAAUCAAGUGCUAAGCUAACGGAAUGGGUCAAGUCAAUCACAUCAUUCUCCUAAUGAUGUAAUCUCAUUAAUCAAAUGACAACUCAUGUCUAUGGUUAGGAAACACAACCAUCUUUGAUUCAACGAGCUAGUCAACUAGAGGCAUACUAGUGACAUUAUGUUUGUCUAUGUAUUCACACACGUACUAAGUUUCCGGUUAAUACAAUUCUAGCAUGAAUAAUAAACAUUUAUCAUGAAAUAAGGAAAUAAAUAAUAAGUUUAUUGUUGCCUCUAGGGCAUAUUUCCUUCACUCCAUUGUGCCGGAGAACGGAGUUUUAGUCAUCUUGCCCCUGAGGCAUGGUUCGCAAGUAUCAAAUGAUUCAUAAUGAAGUAAUUCCAGAAGUCAUAAUCAAAAUAUGUGAUAUGAUAUGGCCAUCAUCAUCUUGUGCUUUUGAUCUCUCCAAAGCAUCAUCAUGAUCUCCAUCGUCACCGGCUCGACACCUUGAUCUCCAUCAUUGUGUCGCGGUCAUCUCGCCAACUAUUGCUUCUAUAAUCUUUACCUAAUAAUAAAGAAAAUUGGGUUUCUGGUCGUCCGUCAUUAGAAUUACCCUCGAAGUUGGCAUAAAUUACCCACUAUGCCACCCGUAAGUGGAAACAACGGUUCACUUUUAUUUCAAAAUCGCGCUCGAUUUCGUGUUAUUAGAUGCCGCUACAUUUAUAUGACAGGAUCACCCCCAGUGGCGCAGUGGCUAUGACCGCCGCCCUGCCCUUGGGAGACCAGGGUUCGACUCCUAGGACUACCUCUUUUCUCUCCUUUUUUUCUAUUGCAAGCAUGCAUCCUACCCACACCCAGUAAUUAAUGGGCCGACUCAGCUGUAGGUCGUAGCACACAGUUUUGCUAGUUUGUUUUUCCUUUUUAAUUUCUCAUUUUUUUGUUUUUUCCUUUUUAAAUUAAUUUUUGAUUUAUAAAAUAACCAAAUUUGAAAAAGGUGUGAGUUUAAAAAAAUUGAGAAAUCACAAAUUGUUUGUGAAUUCAAAAAACAUUUAAAAAAUCAUAAAUGAUCACGAUUACAAAAAAUUGUUCGUGUAUUACAAAAAAGAUCACGUUGUCAAAUAAAUGUCAUGAAAUGGGAAAUGUUCAUGCUUUCUAAAAUAAUAGUAUUCAAAACAUUCAGGGGUUUUAAAAAAUGUCAAUGAAAUUUCAGAACAUCUUCAAAAAAUUGAAAUAAAUCCAUAAAUAAUGAGCAUAACGAACCGUCGCUUACGUACAAGUUUUAUUAGGAGAUCCGUAGAGGUUGUUUUAUGAUUUUAUUUAGUCCCUUGCAUCAAGUAAAAAAAGGUUUUCGUAUCUUGUACAACGUCGAGCCCCCCAAAAUUGACAGAACUUUCGGUGGGUUACUUUUGUAAGCUAUAUAAAACUAACUGAAUUUCUAUUUUGCCUCCAUACACAACUAUGUUUAUUCUGGUAUGAUAAUAUUGAUUAUGAGAAACACCACUACGCUGGGUCAGGGUGAGACACAUCAUUCAUCAGUCUAGCUCAAACAGUGGCCAUCAAUGCAGUUUGCUCAGUGAUUUUUUUCCGUUGUGGCGCCUUAGGAGAUCAAGUCGUGAUAAGACCAUCACAUUUUUAAAUGACUUUUUAAAAGUACGUUAUCUCAUCAUGACAUCACUCGGAAAUAGUUUGUGAAAUGACAUUUUAAAAGUCUUUAUCUCAUUCAGGCAUUUGAUUCAGACUUUUUUUAUAUCUAUCACACCUGUAUAAUCUAAUAGUUUUACCCUAAGAAAAAUCUAAUAGUUUUUCUCCCGUUGCAACACACGGGCAAAUUUGCUAGUAUUGCUAAUGCAUAGCGAUAAAGUAAAGCAAUUACAUGGCGUUUGCAUUUCAUACAAUAAAGAGACAACCAUAAGGCUCCUGCCGGUUGCUGAUAAAUUACAAAACAUGAUCAUCUCAUACAAUAACGUUUAUCACAUCAUGUCUUGACCAUAUCACAUCCCAACAUGCCCUGUAAAAACAAGUUAGACAUCCUCUACUUUGUUGUUGCAAGUUUUACGUGGCCACUACGGGCUUCUAGCAAGAACCGUUCUUCCCAACACAAAACCACAACGGUGAUUAUUAAGUUUGCUAUUUUAACCUUUUUGAAGAACCGGCCAUAGUCAAAUCCGAUUCAACUAAAGUAGGAGAAACAGACACCCGCCAGCCACCUUUAUGCAAAACUAGUUGCAUGUCUGUCGGUGGAACCGAUCUCAUGUCCAUGGACAUGUAAGGUUGGUCCGGGCCGCUUCAUCCUACAAUACCGCCGAAUCAAAAUAAGACGUUGGUGUUCCUACUCGUGCAUAUCAUCUACUCAUAGACCUGGCUCGGAUGCCACUGUUGGGAAACGUUGCAUGGAAAACAAAAAAUUCUACGCACAUGCAAUGAUCUAUCCAUGGAGAUGCAUAGAAACGAGGGGGAGAGUGUGUCUUCGUACCCUCAUAGACAGUAAGCGUAAGCGUUUCACAAUGCGGUUGAUGUAGUCGAACUUUCUUCGCGAUCCAACCGAUCGAGUACUGAACGUACGACACCUCCGUGUUCUGUGCACGUUCACCUCGGUGACGUCCCUCACCUUCUUGAUCCAGAAAGACGUCGAGGUAGUAGAUGAGUUCUGUCAGUACGACGGUGUGGUGAUGGUGAUGGUGAAGUGAUAUCCAUAGGGCUUCGCCUAAGCACUACGAAAAUAUGACCGGGGGUGUAAACGGUGGAGAGGAGCGCCGCACACGGCUAACAAUUGAUCUGGGUGUGCUAGGCGCCCCCUCCUCAUAUAUAUAGGUGGGAGGGAGAGGGGAGAGGCCAAGGGGCGCCCCAAGUAGGUCCGAAUCCUACUUGGGCUCCUGCCCUUGGCCGCGCCCCCUGCCAUGUUUGUCGGAGGGGGUAGGAAAGAGGGGGGGGAAGGAAGGGGGAAUCCUAUUCCACUCUUUCCUUUCCCUUCCCCUCUUUCCUUCUCCUCCUAGGCUGGCCCAUAUGGGAUGCGCACCAGCCCCUUGUGGCUGGUGCGUUUCCCCUCUUGGCCCAUAAGGCCCAUAUCUUUUGUUGGGGGUGCCCGGAACCCCUUAUGGCGACCCGAUAAGUACCCGGUACCCCCCGAAACACUCCCGGUGUCCGAAUACCCUCGUACUAUAUAUCAAUAUUUACCUCCCUACCAUUUCAAGACUCCUCUUCAUGUCCGUGAUAUCAUCUGAGACUCCGAACAACGUUUGGUCACCAAAUCACAUAACUCAUAUAAUGCUAUAUCGUCAUCGAAUGUUAAGCGUGCGGACCCUACGGGUUCGAGAACUAUGUAGACAUGACUGAGACACCUCUCCGGUCAAUAACCAAUAGCGGAACCUGGAUGUCCAUAUUGGAUCCUACAUAUUCUACGAAGAUCUCUAUCGGUCGAACUGUUAUGACAACAUACGUAAUUCCCUUUGUCCAUCGUUAUGUUACUUGCCCGAGAUUCGAUAGUCGGUAUCUUCAUACCUAGUUCAAUCUUGUUACCGACAAGUCUCUUUACUCGUUCUGUAAUACAUCACCUCGUGACUAACUCCUUAGUCUUUUGCUUGCAAGCUUAUGAUGUGUAUUACCGAGAGGGCCCAGAGAUACCUCUCCGAUACUCGGAGUGACAAAUCCUAAUCUUGAUCUAUGCCAACUCAAAAAACACCUACGAAGAUACCUAUAGAACAUCUUUAUAAUCACUCAGUUACAUUGUGACAUUUGAUAGCACACAAGGUAUUCCUCCGUUAUCCGGGAGUUGCAUAAUCUCAUAGUCGAAGGAAUAUGUAUUUGACAUGAAGAAAGCAAUAACAAUAAAACUGAACGAUCAUUAGGCUAAGCUAACAGAUGGGUCUUGUCCAUCACAUCAUUCUCCUAAUAAUGUGAUCCCAUUAUCAAAUGAAACUCAUGUCCAUGGUUAGGAAACCUUAACCAUCUUUGAUCAAUGAGCUAGUCUAGUAAAGGCUCACUAGGGACACAAUAUUUGUUUAUGUAUUCACAUAUGUAUUUAGGUUUUCGAUUAAUACAAUUCUGGCAUGAAUAAUAAACCUUUAUCAUGAAUAAGGAAAUAUAAAAUAACAACUUUAUUAUUGCCUCUAAGGCAUAUUUCCUUCAGCACCAAGGCAGGGCAGCCGCCGACCCCUCCCCUGCCAUCUCCUCCACCCCUAAAGAAGGAAAGGGGGGAGGCGCCUAGGGUGGGCGCCCUAAGGCUGGCCGCCGCCCCCCUUGGGGGUGCCCUAGGCUGCCUCCCCUCUCCCUCCACCUAUAUAUAUAUGUGAGGAGGGAGAGGGGCAACACACACCAUGAUCCCAAGCCAUGUGCGACGCCCCUUCUCCCUCUAGUUCUAGUUCCUCCUCUGUCCACAUUCAUUGUGCUUGGCGAAGCCCUGCGGAUAGUUUCAUCACCACCGUCAUCACCACUGUCGUGCUGCCGAAACUCAUCUACUACUUCGCCUCUCUUGCUAGAUCGAGAAGGCAAGGAUGUGAUCGAGCUGAAUGUGUGCUGAACGCGGAGGUGCCGUACGUUCGGUACUUGAUCGGGAUGGAUCGUGAAGGUGUACGACUACAGCAACCACGUUGAUAAACGUUUCCGCUUAGCAAUCUACAAGGGUAUGUAGAUGCUCUCCCCUUCUCAUAGCUAUGCAUCUUCAUGGAUAGAUGUUGCAUGUGCGUAUAAUUUUAUUUUUUCCAUGCAACGUUCCCCAACAGAACUUGGGCAGGAGCACUUUUGCCCUUCGGUGGAGCGAUUCCGCCGGGGGAACUUUCCUCCCAGAGGGGGAAAUCGAAGCCAUCGUCAUCACCAACAACCCUCUCAUAUUUGGGAGGAUAAUCUCCAUCAAUAUCUUCAACAACACCAUCUCAUCUCAAAACUCGUGUUCAUCUCUUGUGUUCAAUCUUUGUACCGGAAUCUCAUAUUGGUACCUGUGGGUGACUAGUAGUGUUAGUUACAUCUUGUAAUUGAUGCUAUAUUGUUUAUUUGGUGAAAGAUUAUAUGUUCAGAUCCAUUAUGCUAUUUAAUAUCCCUCUGAUCUUGAGCGUUAAUAUUAUUUGUGACUAGUUGUCCUUGUUCUUGAGGCCAUGGGGGACAUCAUGUUGCAAGUAAUUAUGUGAAUUUGAUAUUCGUUCAAUAUUUUGAUGAUAUGUAUGUUGUGAUUCCCUUAUUGGUGUUAUGUGAACGUCAACUACAUGUCACUCCACCAUCUUUGGGCCUAAGGGAAUGCAUUGUGGAGUAGUUAUUAGAUGAUGGGUUGCUAGAGUGAUAGAAGCUUAAACCCUAGUUUAUGCGCUAUUUCGUAAGGGGCUGGUUUGGAUCCAUAUGUUUAAUGCUAUUGUUAGAUUGUUAUCUUAAUUCUUCUUUCGUAGUUGCGAAUGCUUGCGAGGGGGUUAUCAUAAGUGGAAGGCUUGUUCAAGUAAGAACAACACCCAAGCACCGGUCCACCCACAUAUCAAAUUAUCAAAAUAGCGAACGCGAACCAAACCAACAUGAUGAGAGUGACAAGAUGAAUUUCUUGUGUGACCUCAAGAACGCUUUACUUAUUAUCUGAGACUGUUCCGAUCUGUCCUUUGCCAUCAAAAGGAUUGGGCUACCUUGCCGCACUUAUUCUUACUAUUGUUACUUGUUACUUGUUAUAGAUUAUGUUGCUAUUAAACUACUUGUUAUCGAUAAUUUCAGUGCUCGCAGAAAUUACCUUGCUGAAUACCAUUUGUCAUUUCCUUAUGCUCCUCGUUGGGUUCGACACUCUUACUUAUCGAAAGGAUUACAUUGAUCCCUAUACUUGUGGGUCAUCAGUCUCACCGCCGGCCUCCUCACGCCGACCUCAUCUUCAUCGUGCGGACCUCCUCUGCUAGAGGUCUCACUGCCGGCCUCCUCGCGCCGAGCUCAAUGCCCAGUGGACCUCCUCCACCGUAGGUCUAACCGUUGGCCUCCUCGCGCCGACUUCAUCUCCCAAUGGACCUCCCUAAUCGGAGGUCUCACCAUGCGAACUCCAUCGCAUGGCCGUCAAUCUACAAAGCUCGCCAUAACCGUCUCGAGGGCCAUGCCUUACCGUUUACAACCAGGUAAUAUCUAUCUAAUUAUCCAUAAAUAUUACCAUGACAAAAAAAUUGUCCAUGUCUGCUAGUACUACCUUUUGCAGAUAAAUCGACCUUGCCCCUGGCGCAUCGUUGGUUCGCCGCUCCGGCCUCAUCGUGCAAUAUCAUCGCGUGACCUCACCGUGCAGGCCUCACAUCGCGCGGGCCUCGCCGCUCCAGCCUCGUCACCCGACGGGCUCAGGCAACACCGCGCGAGCUUCAACACGUGAACAACAAUCCGUGAAACCUCACCUCAACCGGCUUGAGGGCUCCGCCUCGCCUCUUACGGACACAUGCAAUAUUUACUUUAUUUAUUUUUCUCAUCCAUGUCAAAAAUUUAUGAGCAUUAUUUUCUACCAGUAUACUUAUGUAUGUAGAUUACAAUCAGGACAUGGCAGUCUAUGAUACGUGAGGGUACCUACCACCGGAUGGUAGGAUUUACUACCAGUAUUUACAAGAUGUUUGAACUGCCAAAACGUGUUAUAUUUAGAAACAGGAAAUGCAUUUAUAUAUAUACAUAAAUGAGAUCAUUAUAAAUAUAUAUAAUUUUUAAUAAUAAUUAUCAGAUACCUCAAAGUGAGUUGCGUCAAAAUUCUAUUUGAAUCUGUAUUUAUACUUUUUGAGGGGAUACUGAACUAUUUUUACAACGCAAAAAUAACUACGCUGCCUGACUGGGCCUGGUCUAUUUAGGGGCGUGCCCACACACACACAUUGGACCCUAACGGGCCCAACGAACGACCCACACUCGAUACCCCCCAGCCCGCUAGGGUUUUGCUGGCAGGUAUAAAAUACCCCUUCUUCUCCUCUCCCAUUCCUCCCUCCUAUCAACUCGACCACAGAGCGGCGGCGGCGGCGGCGGCGGCAGCGGGGGAGAGAGGAGAGAGCUCCAGCCAUGGUGCACGUCAACUUCUACCGCAACUGUAAGACCGCGCCACGAUCCUCCUGUCUCCUCUACCCUCUUGUGCUCUCUGCUCAACUGUAUUCAGUCAUUUGUGUCUUCGUGCUCGCCGUGAUCUGAUGGGGUGGUGCUCGCAUAGGCGUUGCAGCAAGUUGCUAUCGGUUAGCCUUCUGCUUCCUGCUACGGCAGCGGCUUGCCGCCACGCAGAGCUCAGGGAUCUCUUAGCUGUGGCGUCUUACUUCGGGCAUGGCUGGUGAGAGGUCAGCGAUUCGUAGCCGUGAUGUCUUGCGUGCCGUUGCUGUGAGGGGAGCGGGAAGGUUGAUUAGCGAGUGCAUGAUUUGCGUCGGCGUUUUGCCGUUGUGAGAUGAGAGGUUUGUUUGCAUAAGAUUUUUGGCUUAUCUUUUUAUGGAGUACCUGGAUUUGAGUCGAACCUGGCAUGAGGACUGCGCCCUAGAUCUAAUUAAAGGUGUGUCUUACUUGAGCACUGGACAUUUGUUUACUCUCAGCUCUGUCAGUACGCUCAGUUGAUAGUCUUGUCAGAUUUAAACAAGUUCCUUAUUUCAGGGAUAUUGAUAUGCAGCCCAUAGCCAUCAGGUUUACUGAUAAGUUUAGAAUCAGGCCAGCCUAAGUGAAGUCUAAUUACCUAUAUAUCUGUUUCAUGGUGGAAAUUAUUCACCUCCUACUGUUACUGGUUCUUCAUGUGGGAGCUCUGAAUUUGGUAUAUACUAUGCCACCACUAGAAUAGUCCCAGAAAUGAUGUUUGUGCUUCAUAAUGGAGCCACUUGAUUUUGUUGUAUGCCAUAGCCUAGAUGUUGCAUAUUCUUUUCUGCGAGAGCAUGUAAUUCAUACUACAUACAAGGGUUGUGCAUUUAUUUGUUCACAUGCUUUUAUAUCCUAUGUGCUUUUAAUUAAAUCAGAUCAAUUCUUCUGACUUGAUUACGACCAGAAACUUGUGAAUGUGUUAUUAUAAUUGCCCGCUUUUAAUGCACCUGGGCAUAGUGGCACAUGUGGUCCCACUUUGGACCUGGCAUUUGCUCUAUGCUACAAUUUGCCCAUGUUUGUUAUGUUUUUACUGCAACUCAUGCCUUGUUUCCAUCAAUUUAUUUUCUUAAUAUGUAUUUACUAGUUAAAUGUUUUCUCUUGCAGAUGGUAAGACAUUCAAGAAACCAAGGCGUCCUUAUGAGAAGGAGCGUCUUGAUGCAGAACUGAAGCUGGUUGGUGAGUAUGGAUUGAGGUGCAAGCGUGAGCUCUGGAGGGUUCAGUAUGCAUUGAGCAGGAUCCGUAAUGCUGCAAGACACUUGCUCACACUGGAUGAGAAGAAUCCCCGCCGUAUCUUUGAGGGUGCGGCUCUUCUCCGUCGCAUGAACCGCUAUGGUCUCCUUGCUGAGGGCCAGGAUAAGCUUGAUUACGUCCUUGCCCUGACUGCUGAGAACUUCCUUGCAAGGCGCCUUCAGACUCUUGUCUUCAAGGCUGGCAUGGCAAAAUCCAUCCACCAUGCCCGUGUCUUGAUCAGGCAACGCCACAUCAGGUAUGCUUCUGGUAUAUUUUUCUUGCAAUGCAUGUUUUGGCAUAUGGUUGCAUAAAUUUGCAUAUUGAUCUAGAAAUCUAAAUGGUUUGCACUAGUUUGUUCAAUAUUGGCUACCUAAUACUGGUCUGUUACUGAUUUUUACAUGCAUCUAUGAAUUACAUGCUGGCCUGAUACAGGUUACAUGCAUGUCUGAAUUUUAUCAUCUUUCAGGAUGUACUCUGUUUAUUGUGGCAUGUUCUUUAUGAAAUCUACUGUACUUUCAAUCACUGCACUGCCUAUCUUGUACCAAUGCACAUGUUUAUGGUCUGAUUGCCAUGUCAAUAUUGUAUUUGUGGCAACAUAAUGUUAUUGGUAGGUUGUAUAUCUUGCUAAUACCUCACUAAGCAAAGAUGUUGAACCUGUUUUCUGUAACUGAGAUCAUGUCAAUAUUGUUAGUUUUUGCUUCUUGUGUUAUACUGUUUGUGGUCUGGUUUAUAUGUGGCAUUCACUUUGAGAUUUCAUUGUGAAGUGAUAUCUUCCAUGAAUGUUCCUGCUUGUUCUCUUUGUGAAUGAAUUGUUAAAAUAAUUUUCUUGGAACCAUAUUGCAGGGUUGGCAGGCAGAUCGUCAAUGUCCCGUCGUUCAUGGUGAGGGUUGAAUCUGAGAAGCACAUCGACUUCUCACUGACAAGUCCAUUCGGCGGAGGCCCUGCAGGCAGGGUGAAGAGAAAGAACCAGAAGAAGGCAAGUGGUGGCGGCGACGCCGGUGGUGAUGAGGAAGAGGAAUGAGGAACUAGUAGCUAUCACCUUAUAUUUAUCAAAUGUUGGUGUUAUGAGUACUUUAGCUGAGAGGCCUGAGACUUUCAUGGGUUAUCCUCUUGUCAUUUUGUCACUUUAUCACUGUUGUUAGCAUGUAUGCACUUCUUUAUGUUUGGAGCUAUUUGGUCGUGAUGUUUUCGACUAUGACCUGGAAUUCUCCUUCAAUUGCUUCUGUUGGGGUGGUUGUCUGAUAGUUAGCAAAGGAAUCAACUUAGUAAACGAAUUAACUUUAGUGAUCUAUUUGCUGGUUUGUUUC